rnacentral:lncRNA from 1 species
CUUGAUCCGCCACUUGAAAGCAUGCAACGAUGCUUGGAUCGGUACCGGGAGGGAAUGUUGACGGAACCAGUGAAGCGAACGGGCUUGCGUACGCCGGUGGUGGGUAGGUAGCGCCACCGCCGCCGGAGGAGUGAGAAUCUUCCUUUGGUGGUUUCUGGUAAGGGGCGGCGUAAGGAGCGGAGGGUUGGCCGUAGGAGGUGGGGGGUGGUGCGCCGUAGGAUUGAGAUGGCGGUGGUGCGCCGUAGGAUUGAGAUGGAGGAGGAGCGCCGUAGGAUUGGGAUGGUGGAUGUGAGCCGUGGGAUUGAGAUGGAGGAGGGGCACCGUAGGAUGAUGGUGGAUGUGAGCCGUGAGAUUGGGAAGGAGGUGGUGCGCCGUAGGAUUGGGAAGGAGGUGGUGCGCCGUAGCCGUAACCGUAACUGGGAGGUUGAUUUGGGUAGCCGGACAUGUUGAAGAGUGAGAGGGUUUGUUAGAGAAAAUUAUAUGAGUGAAGAAGAGCAGAGACAAAUGAUAGUGGAUUUUGUGGAGGUUCUGGAUUUAUAUACAGCUACUCCUGAUAUAUGCUGAGGUGGAAUGGUUAUGUGGUUUUAGAAAAAAAAAAAUUGUCCUAAAUUAUACGUCGCUUUACAAUACCAAUGAAAUAUUUAUGUUAUUUUUUUUAUUAUAUCCUUAAUUAUUAAUUACUCUAUCUUCUUUCAAUUAUUUCAUUUAUUUUUUUCAUACCAUUUAUUAAGGAUAAUUUUGUAAAAUAACUCAUAAUUUCUCUUCUCUACGCAAUAUUAAUUACAUUUUUUAAUACUGUGAAAUGGUCAAAACGUCUUACAAUUUGGGACGGAGGGAGUAAAAGUUAGCAGCAAAAUAAAUGUAGUUAUAUUUUAAUUUUCAUUUAAAUAUGUUGUGAGUUUUGUUUUUUUCGAUGAGAUGUUCUUAUUGUAAAAAAAAUAAAAUACUACUACGUCUAGUUUCAAUCAUAAGCAACAUUAUAAAUUUUAUAUUUAUUGAAUUUUUAAUGUAUUUGAUGUAUAUUUUUUGUCAAAAAAAAAUGUAUUUGAUGUAUAUUUAAAAUUAAAUAUACUUUUUGAGGGAAAAAUUAUAUUUAUUAAUUAGUUAAUGAAUUUAAAAAGUAAACUUGUUUUAUCUAUAAUUGAAAUCGGAGGUAGUGCAGUUAAAAAAAUUAAUAAAUUUAUCUCAUAUAUUAAGUGACAUAUGAUUGACUAUUUUAUGCAUGACAAUGCAUUAUUUUUAUCUGUAAUAUCAUUAAUUACUUAUCAACAAAAAUCCUAAAGAAGUGUUAUAUUGAAAAUGUUUAUCUAGACAAAUCCAACAAUAUAUUAUGACUUAUAUACUAUUAUUUGUAUGUGUGCAUUUAUAGAAAAAUAUGGUCAAAGUAUCUCAUUUGAAAAAUGUACAUGGUUAAAUUAGUUCAAUUAUUAUGGGACAUAUUGAAAAAUAUAGAACAAAUUAUUAGAAUUAUUAGGUUAAUAUAGUUCAAUUAAUAAAAAAAAAUUAUUCAGCUUAAUAAGCAUGGGUCAGUGGAGUUUUUUUCCACCAUAGGAAAGUUGAUAAUGUGCAUUAGAUUAAAUGUGGAACACAUUCUUAUAUCACUCUCUCAACAUUAGAUUAUUUUUUACACUAUUUUCCACCCUCUCUCUUUCAUGUCCCCACACCACCAUAAAAUCACAUAUUUAGCAACCACUUUGACCACCAUACACCAUCCAUUUCUUACGAUUGUAACAGUUCCAAGAUGAAAACCAAUUUUCAAUAAUUAGACAUGAAAAAACUAAAAUCUAUCAUUAAUGUUGAAAAAAGUUGUUUCGGUAUCAAUAACCAUGACAUCACGGUGAAUAUGGACAAACGAUUUAAUAUGUUCUUCUUUGGUGAAUAUGUUCUCAAAACUAAAAUCCACCAUUCAAGAAAUUUCUGAUCCAAAUUUUUUUAUGUUCUUCUUUGAUGUGAUUUAGAUAUGGGUUUUUGUAUGGGUUGAUUAUCUUGUCUUUAUGCAAUUAGUCUGUUUGAACUGAUUGAAUAUGGACAAGCGAUUAUGGCAACUGAAGCUCCUAAGCAAUGGAUACCCAUUAAAGUUUUUUUGGAGGUGUAAUAAGGUGGGUCUGUUGGAGUGUUGGUGGCAACAAAGACUUGAGUUUACUGGUAGUGGUGAAAGGAGGAAGAUAAGUUGAAGACAAAGUGGGAAAGAUACAAUGUAGGCAGACUAUGAUAACAUCUAUACUCCUUUUUAAUCUAAUGAUCCAAAAUAAACUUUUCCAUGGUGGGAAAAAACUCCACUUACCCAUACUAAACCCCGCCUAAUAGGAUGCGUGGAAUAAGAUUUAUUUGAAUAACCAACACUUUUUUUUAACAAGGCAAAAUGAAAUUAUAUUACCAAAAACAAUAGCAAUCUCUUAGCACAAGGUGUGGAUAGAAGACUACUACCAAUAUACAAUGAACUAAAACAAGAGGAAAAACCCACCGGUGGUUAUCCAAUGCCCAAACAAGCUAAAGGACAUGACCACCACAUAUGACUUCCAAAAACAAAAGUGACAUUUUUAGCUUUAAGCCACACUAACGAUAACAACUUAAUUUUAUCAAGCAAUCUAGGAGUCUCGGUUACAACAUUUUUAAACAAACGAUUAUUACGCUCACUCCAAAUCAUCCAAGUAGUCAAAAGCCAGAUUAACUGAAGAAACGAUCGCCUAGCUUUGGCAAAACCUGACAAACAAGUGAACUGCACUAAGUGAUUAGAAAUAAUGUUGGAGUCGACCCCCACACAACCUAUCCAGAGCCACAAUUGCUCCCAUAAACCCGCAAAAAACGGGCAUGAUAGAAAUAAAUGAUCUGAUGUUUCAAUCGAACCACACCCUGUGACACAAAGAGCAGUGUCUAACUGUAAGAUGCCUCUUGAUGCCAAAUUUGAUUUCAUCGAUAACCGAUCCCUCAUAAGACGCCAAGCAAAUAUCGACACCUUCAAAGGAACCUGAUGAUGCCAAACCAAAUCCACAGCACUAUCCGUGAUGGAAUUGACAGUCGCUGUUAACACCUCAUAAGCACCUCUAACAGAAUAACCUCCUAUAGGGUCAGGAAGCCAAAUCCAAGAAUCUGAAAUAUCAGUAAACAGAGAAACAUCAAGCAGUAAAGUCCUACACUCCUCUAAGACAAUCUCCUCCCACGCCCACAACCUCCGCCUCCAACUCCACCCCUCCCCUCCCCGCGUCAACCUCAAGGACAACAUGUUAGCUACAAUAGUAUAUUUGUCUACAACUAAAUCGAACAACCUGGGAAAUUGCUCUCUAAGGGGCGCCCCUCCACACCACCAGUGAAACCAAAACAACGUAUCAGAACCAUCACCCACCUUCCUACGCACACUAUCACCAAACCAACUACCCCCUACACCACCAUCACCAUCUCUAAUCCUCCCCACCUCCCUCCACCAAUAAGAACAACUCCGGCCCCCAACCUCCAACCUCGCCAUAACGGGCGACUAGAACAUUAUACCACAACCCUACUCUAUUUACCAACAUCCUCCAACACCAUUUACCUAACAAAGCAAAAUUAAACUCCCUCAACCUCCUAACCCCCAAUCCUCCAGACUCCUUUGGAGAACACAAAGUAUUCCAACCUAUCCAAGUAAUUUUCCGAUGGUCCUCCCCCCCCCCAAAAAAAAAAAAAUUAUUCAACAAAGAUUCAAUGGAAGAGAUUAUACCUGAUGGAGCUUUAAAGAAGGAAAGAGCAUAGACAGGAAAAGAAGUCAGAACUGCUUUCAAAAGGACCAAGCGACCACCGAACGAGAGAAAUCGACUAUUCCAACCUGACAAUCUAGAUUUAAUUCUAUUCACAACAGGGUCCCAAAAUGAAAGACGACACGGAUUACCCCCUAUAGGUAAACCAAGGUACAUGAAAGGAAUCUUGCCCACUUUACAACUUAACACCGAAGCCGCCUCAUUCAACCACGACUCAGAAAUAUUAACACCCACUAACAAGUUUUUAUUAAAAUUAACCUUCAACCCCUACAAGGACUCUAAAAUGACAAGAGUGGCAUGGAGAGCUCGAACAUUAGCCCAGCUUUUCUUCCCUAACAACAGAGUAUCAUCAACAAAUUAUAAAUGAGAAAUAUCCAACGAAUUAACUGUCCCAACAGAAUAACCUGAAAACAAGCGAUUUUCUACCAUAGCUUUCAUCAAAACAUUCAGUCCCUCAGCUGCCAGAAGGAACAAAAAAGGGGACAAAGGGUCCCCUUGACGAAGUCCCCUUUUAAGCGGGAAUUCAUCGGCAGGACUACCAUUAACUAGCACGGAAGCUGUAGCUGUGCCAACACAUUCUCUAAUCCAUUUCCUCCACAUCACAGGAAAUGACAUGCACUUCAUAACCUCAUCAAGGUAACCCCAAUCAACAGAGUCGUAAGCCUUUUCAAAAUCCACUUUAAACAGCAUGAGAUCCUUCUUUAACUUAAAAACUUCAUUAGCUAUCAGAAUACCAUCAAGGAUUUGACGUUUCUUCACAAAAGCCGACUGCGUCUCGGACACAACACUACCAAUAACUACUCUCAGUCUAUUAGCUAAUAAUUUCACAAUAAUUUUGUACAUACUCCCCACCAAUGAAAUCGGACGAAAAUCAUUCAAACGCUGAGGAUUAUCCACUUUCGGAAUAAGAACAAUGAAAGUAGUAUUGAUACCUUUUGCCAACUUACCAUUGCGAUGAAACUCAGACACAAACCGCAUGAUGUCAUCCCUUAACACACUCCAAAACUCCUUAAUAAAACCAAAAUUGACCCCGUCAGGACCCGGACUUUUAAAGAUGUCACAGUCCCAAAUUGCCUCCUUCACUUCGUCAACCGAAAAAGGUUUUAUCAAACUCCCACCCUCAGUCACAGACAGCACCUGAAACCGAAGGUUAGAAACACUAGGCCUCACCACGUUAUGCGCCAUAAAAUGUUGAGCAAAAUGAGUGAAAAUAACAUUUUGAACAGGCCCAACUCUUUCGAUCCGCUCAUCCUCAACCACCACAGAGCAAAUAGUGUUAAAACGUUGACGGGAAAAAAUUUAGAAUUCGCAUCCCCUUCUCGCAACCAAUGGUUUCGCGACUGUUGCCAACAAAUACUGGUAUUAAGCUUGGAAAGGGAAUGAAUCUUCGCCGAAAUACUAUAUAACUCAUCACAUUCACCGUCAGACAGGUCCUCCACUUCCCCUUUCCCAUCCAACACCGCCAUGCGGUCUUUAAGAUGGACUAUUGAUGCAGGUAAAUUACGAGUAUGAGACUCAUGCCAUUCCUUCAGGGCAAGUUUAAUUUGUUUGAACUUUUCUCUUAAAACAAAACCACCCCAUCCAUCAACCUGCAAGGAUUUCCAUUUAUCGGACACGAAUUGAUUGUACCCUGGUAUCUCCGUCCAACAUUUCAGGAAUCUAGACGGCCGAGGUCCCCAAUUUUCCUCAUCCAAAGACAGCACCAACGGACAAUGAUCCGACAAACCUCUUAACUGAGCCACCUGAAUGCAAUUAGGCCACUUCAAACCCCAUUCCUCAGAGAUCAAAAACUGGUCCAAACGACUCAUCGACCUACCAUCCCCUUUGAACCACGUAAAAAUACGGCCAAAUAAAGGUAAAUCUAUCAAAACAUUUGAAGGUGAGAAAAACACAAGAAGGGGGGGGGGGGGGGGGGGGGGNNNNNNNNNNNNNNNNNNNNNNNNNNNNNNNNNNNNNNNNNNNNNNNNNNNNNNNNNNNNNNNNNNNNNNNNNNNNNNNNNNNNNNNNNNNNNNNNNNNNNNNNNNNNNNNNNNNNNNNNNNNNNNNNNNNNNNNNNNNNNNNNNNNNNNNNNNNNNNNNNNNNNNNNNNNNNNNNNNNNNNNNNNNNNNNNNNNNNNNNNNNNNNNNNNNNNNNNNNNNNNNNNNNNNNNNNNNNNNNNNNNNNNNNNNNNNNNNNNUUGAACACUUGAUAUACAAUCAGUGGUGUUCACAAUACAAUGCAAUAAAGACUCUAGACUUAAGAAUUUCUAAGAUAUAUCAAAUCAGUGCAGAAAUUCAAAGUGCUUUUUAGAAUCAAAUUUGGCAGAGUUUUGGCGCUUUUAACUUGUGUUGAUGUCUCUUGCCAAUCUUCAAGUCUUCACUCCUUUAUAUAGAGGUGAGUAGAGAGACGUUGAGAAUUAUAGCACGUCUAAAGAGUCGUUGAGUUCCUUUGAUCAUCCACCAGUAAUCUUUUGCCUGAUUUGGGUGUAGUCCUAUAGAGGAUCAACUUCAAAUUCAUUCCUAUCUUGAAGGAACAAUUCUGCAGGCAGAGCUGUUAUUUUGUCUUGUAGCGAGGACAUGCUCAGGGUCGUGGAGGUAGUGGUUGUACACUUGUACUUUGUCAACUCUUCAAAAAGGUACAAGCACCCAGUGCUUUCCAAAUGAACGUUGGCACUUCCCUUUUGAUCCUUUGCUUUCGUAGACGAGAUUAACUUCAAGAAACAGCUCUUUGAGAUUUCAGAUUGAAUCUCCUGAUCAACUGUUGCUUCUGGUGAUGAUGUAGCUUCUGAUGAAAUCUUGCUUCUGAUGAACUUUACUUCUGAUGAUCUUCUGCUUCUGAUGACGUCAUCACUUCAGAGGCACUUGAAACUUCAGAAGCACUUCAUAGCUUCAGACGCAGUUUUUCUUCAGAUGCUUUAGAUUCCUUUGCUCUCUAUUGUUCUUCCAAGACCUAUUGAAAUUGAUUAACUUUGCCUAUGGUCCUGUACACUUGAACAAAUAUUAGCAAUAACCAAUUGACAAUUUUUAAUACCUUGUUAUCAUCAAAACUCAUUAAGGUUUAUUGUAAAACACAUUUUGUUCCAACAACAUUAUCCUCAAUAAAAGUAUUAAACGGCACAUACUCUGCCGCUCCCCCAUAGUCCAACAACGAUCUUCUUUCCUCCCUACCCCGAACCGCGUUAAAAUCACCGCAAACACAUACCUUCUCCCCUUAUAGUGCCCGAAGUCGAAUAGACAACUCAUCCCACAGAAGUUUCUGAUCACUACCACUACAAGGGGUAUACACAUUAAAAAGAUGAAAUUUCUCAUUAGAAGCUAAAAAGCACCCAUGAAUACUCAACACAUGAUCGAAACUUCCCGAAGACCAAACCUCCACCUCCGAAGUAUCCCACACCGUCAGCAGAACUCCGGACGCCCCCUGAGAUCACCGAAAAGAGAAGGAAACCGACUGACUAUCCCAAAUUGACGAACAAACCCAGUCAUCAUAGUAAUGCAACUUACUUUCUUGCAGACACAAAAUUAAAGGACGCUUUUCCUUUACCAGAUUUCGGACCUCUUUCCUUUUUUUAGGGCCCCCAAGCCCCCGAACAUUCCAAGAUAACAACUUCAUCGCCCACACCCUCCCCACCGCCACCCACUAACUACACAACAUCCUUCUUCAAACCCUUAGCCCUUUCCUCACCACCUGCUACCCUCUUCUUCUUCCCCAUCCCCUUCCUAGCUGAAUAACCAACACUAGAUUAAGUGUGUGUUUGGUAUGGCGGCGGGGAGAAUUGAUUUUGAUAGAAUUGAUUUUGAGAGAAUUGAUUUUGGUUAAAAGUGAGUUGAAUGUGAAUUGAUUUAUGUUUGGAUACACUUUAUUAAAAGUGAUUCAUGUGGGUUGAUGUUGUUUGGAUAGUUUGAAUCAAUAUUGAUUUUGAAUGUAUAAUGACUAAAUUAUCCUUUUAAUUGUAUUUAAAACUCAUUCUCAUUAAAAAAUUAUUUCAAUUUAUCAUACAUGAAUUUUAUUGGUUCCAAAAUUAAUUUUAAAAUAAUAUUAAUUUAUGUUAUUUUUAAUAUAAUUUUUUAUCAAUUGGGUGAUUUUUAAUAAAAUAAUAUAAACAUAAAAAGAUGUAAAACAAAUGACAAAUUACACGAUUGUAAACUAAAAUAUAUUACAAAUAGAUAGAUAAUAGAUAAUAUAAGUUCAAGUGCAAUAUAAUAUUGAAANNNNNNNNNNNNNNNNNNNNNNNNNNNNNNNNNNNNNNNNNNNNNNNNNNNNNNNNNNNNNNNNNNNNNNNNNNNNNNNNNNNNNNNNNNNNNNNNNNNNAAACAAGCAGAAAUUAUUUCCUACUUCUUAUCUAAAUUCUUAAGGAGGAUUCCCUUGUCCUAUCCCAACAAGGAACAAAACCCUAACAAAUUGGUGCUUUCAUUGCUCCUAUUCACCUCCCAUGGCUCCAACAAAUUCUGAGAGAUUAGAUGACCUUGCUGCCAAAGUUGAUACCAUCAUUCAACAAAUCGCCAUUCUCACCACUGCUCCUACUUCCCCUUCACCAACACCACCACCACCACCACCCCAUCCCUUACCACCACGAAUGAAACUCGAUGUUCCCAAGUUCGAUGGUACAGAUGCUAUGGGCUGGAUUUUCAAAAUAAACUAGUUCUUUGAUUUCCACCAAACCCUUGAGGAAGACCGACUCACCGUCGCAUCUUUCUACAUGGAGGGCCAAGCUUUAAGCUGGUAUCAAUGGAUGCAUAGGAACCAGCAAAUCACAUCUUGGUAUGGUUUCCUUCAAGCUUUAGAAACUCGUUUCGCUCCUUCUUAUUACGACGACCCAUCCAGCACGUUGUUCAAACUCACUCAACGCUCUUCCGUGAACCAAUACCUCAAUGAGUUUGAGCGCCUCGCCAAUCGAAUCGUUGGCUUACCACAACCAUUUCUCCUCAGUUGCUUUAUCUCCGGCCUUACACCGGAAAUCCUCCGUGAGGUACAGGCUAUCCGACCAGCUUCACUCUCACAAGCAACAGCACUUGCCAAACUUCAGGAAGACAAAGUGGAAGAUCGCCGUCGCCACUUCAAAGGUAAAAACCAAAACCCUUCAUCUCUUACUGUUAUACCAUCUACUUCAAACCUACCCCCUCUACUACCUGCACCGCCCACUUCCCGUGUUAACUUCAGAAAACUCUCAACCGAAGAAAUGGCCUCAAGAAGAGAAAAGGGGCUUUGUUACAACUGUGACGAAACCUUCACCCCACACCACAAAUGCAAAGGCCGAUUCUUUCUACUCAUUUCUGAUGAAGGCUUUGACACCGACCUACCAAACGACACCAUUUCACCACCUCCUGAACUAGAAAACAACCCCCCCACCAUUAUUACCGAACCAUCAGAACAAGAAGCACAAAUCAGUUUCCACGCCAUCUCCGGCGGCAAUGAUCCAGCAACCAUACGCAUACAAGGCUACAUUUCCAACCACCCUGUCACUGUCCUUAUCGACGGUGGUAGUACCCACAACUUUGUUCAGACUCGGCUAGCUAAAUUCUUAGAGCUGCCUUCACAUCCAACAAAUACUCUGAAAGUUAUGGUUGGGAAUGGAAGCAUAUUGGAAGGUCACCAACUUUGCUCAGCCAUCCCUAUCACCCUACAAAAGGAAACUUUUACCAUAGAUUUCUACUCCCUACCCCUUUGCGGCGCUGACGUCGUCUUAGGUGCUCCCUGGCUACGCUCUAUUGGGCCGGUUCUUAUGGACUACACCGCCCUGACACUAUCCUACAAGCGCGAUAACCAAACCAUCACUCUUACUGGCAACCAAACCAAUGGGCCCAACCCUAUUUCAGCCCAACAACUCAAACGAUGUGUUCAAACCCAUGGAGCAUCCGAAAUGUUCCAUAUCCAAGCCAUAAACCAAACCGCUACCCAAACCCUACCCGACUCAAAACCUCAUCCACUACCAGCUAUUCAAACUCUACUUCAUUGUUUUAACAAUAUAUUCUCAGAACCCACCCACCUCCCACCUUCUAGACCAUCAGAUCACCGCAUCACUCUUCUCCCCAACUCAAACCCUAUCAAUGUACGACCCUACAGAUACCCCUAUUUCCAAAAAAACGAAAUCGAGAAACAGAUCCAGAACAUGCUUGCCUCAAACACCAUCCAACCCAGUCACAGCUCCUUCUCAUCACCGGUAUUGUUAGUAAAGAAAAAGGAUGGAACAUGGCGAUUCUGCGUCGACUACCGCGCUUUGAACAACAUCACUAUCCGUGAUAGAUUUCCAAUGCCAACAAUUGAUGAACUGCUCGAUGAACUGAAUGGCGCCUCUUGGUUUUCAAAGCUCGACCUCCGGCAAGGAUUCCACCAGAUCCGGAUGCAUGAAGAGGAUAUUCCAAAAACUGCGUUCCGUACACAUCAGGGACACUAUGAGUUCAAAGUCAUGCCUUUCGGCCUCUGCAAUGCACCGUCGACAUUCCAGUCAUCCAUGAACAAGCUUUUCAGUCCCUUUCUCCGACGUUUUGUCAUCGUCUUCUUCGACGACAUUUUGGUUUAUAGCAAAACAUUCCAGGAGCACUUACAACACCUUGAACAAGUUUUUAACACCUUGGUCUCUGAUAAUUUCUUUCUGAAACUGUCCAAAUGUCUAUUUGCCCAAAGACAACUGGAGUAUCUGGGCCACAUGGUCUCUCCCGAAGGUGUCUUCCCUGAACCAUCCAAGAUACAAGCCAUCCUUGAUUGGCCUCUGCCCAAAACAGUCACCGAACUCAGAGGGUUUUUGGGACUAACAGGAUUUUACCGGAAAUUUGUUAAGAGCUACGCUACCAUAGCACUCCCGCUCACAUCCCUACUCCGUAAAGACGCCUUCAUCUGGACAGACGAAGCCACUGCUGCCUUCCAAGCCCUCCAACAAGCCAUGACCAACACUCCCACACUAGCAUUACCAGAUUUUACUCAACCCUUCGUGCUGGAAACCGAUGCCUCUGGCCUAGCUAUGGGGGCAGUUCUGAUGCAAAAUUGACACCCCAUUGCCUUUUUAAGCAAACCAUUCUGUCCUCGCUUGCACCGGUCCUCCACAUACGUCCGUGAAUUACAUGCCAUCACCACCGCAGUCAAAAAAUGGCGACAAUAUUUGCUAGGUCAUCCUUUUGUCAUCUUCACAGAUCACCAGAGCCUCAAAGAAUUGCUCACCCAAGUAAUUCAAACACCUGAACAACAAGUCUAUUUGGCUAAACUCAUGGGGUAUGAUUACUCUAUCCAAUACAAAUCUGGCAAAACAAAUGUCGUGGCCGACGCACUCUCCCGCCUUCCAGAGACAACCUCAGGUACGCUUCUUACUCUCUCUAUGCCCCAUUUCACAUUCUUAGAGCACCUCAAACUAGCAUUGGCUGCUAGCGUUCCCUUCAACACCCUACUCACCGAAAUUCAACAAAACCCCCAUUCAAAACCAGACUACAAAAUCCACAAUGGACUCAUACUUUACAAAAACCGAAUUUGGCUCGACCCCUCUCUGCCCUUUCGCCUUUCCAUUCUUGAGGAAUAUCACUCUUCCCCAAUGGGCGGUCACAUGGGAAUAGCCAAAACCUUGGCCCGUUUACAAGCCAAUUUUUGGUGGCCUGGUAUGCUACAGGACAUCAAAACCUUCAUCACCAAAUGCCUCAUUUGUCAACAAAUGAAGUAUGAAACCAAAAAAACCCCCGGUUUACUUCAACCUAUUCCACUUCCAGCAGCUAUUUGGGAAGAUUUAUCUCUGGAUUUCAUCACAGGCUUACCCCCAUCCAACAAAUACACCGCAAUUCUUGUAGUAGUUGAUCGUUUCUCUAAAGGUGUGCACUUAGCCCCCCUCACUCCCAACUACACAGCACACAAUGUAGCCAAUAUCUUCUUCAACACAGUUUGCAAAUUACAUGGCAUCCCUCGAAGCUUAAUUUCAGAUAGAGACCCCCUUUUCAUCAGCAAGUUUUGGCGUGAAUUAUUCUCCCUUUGUGGCACUAAGCUGCGAAUGAGCACUGCGUAUCAUCCGGAGUCCGACGGACAAACCGAGGUAUUCAACCGCGUCCUGGAACAGUAUCUGCGUUCUUUUGUUCACAACAAACCGUCUCAGUGGUCGAAGUUCCUUUCCCUAGCUGAAUGGUCCUACAACACCUCAGUUCACUCAGCAACAGGGUUUUCUCCCUACCAAAUCACUUUCGGGAAAGAGCCACCAUCCAUUCCCCACUAUCUACAAGGAUCAUCCACAAUAGAAGCUGUAGACACAAUGCUGGACUCACGACAACAGUUAAUUACCAAACUCCGUCGUAAUCUGCUCAAGGCACAGGACACAAUGAAAUACUUUGCUGACCAGAAUCGAAGAGCAGUGCAAUUUUAACCGGACCAAUGGGUCUAUGUACGACUCCGUCCUUACCGUCAAAAAAGUCUUUCAGACACUUCCUACACCAAGCUUUCCAAAUGCUUCUAUGGCCCAUUCCGUAUCACUGAAAGGAUUGGUAGUGUAGCAUAUCGCCUCCAAUUACCACCCCAGUUAAAAAUUCAUCCUGUUUUCCAUUGUUCAUUACUCAAGCUUCACCAUGGUCCCAUUCCAACUUCUACUGAUCUUCCUCCAUCAGCCAUUGACAAUCACCCUCUAAUUGAACCACUAGCUAUAAUCAACUACAAAAUGGAUACAUCCACCAGCCCCCCUGCUCCUAUGGCCUUGGUCCAAUGGAAAGGUUUAGCACCUGAAGACACCAGCUGGGAAGACUGGAACUCUAUUCAACAACAUUAUCACCUUGAGGACAAGGUGAUUUUUCCAGACCCAGGCAAUGUUAGCAAAGGCCCUAUUCAGGAUACAACCCAACUANACUAUCUCAAGAACAAUUUAUGUUAAAUCAAUUUUCAGAAAUUAUAUAUUAUGAUCAUUGAGAGUUAGCCUCACCCUUACCUUAAUUGAAGAUCAAACUCUACAAAAUUCCGAAUCUUCCUUCUUGACUUUUCUCCUAGCUUUCUCUUGUUUUCUCCCAAAACUGCUUGUACGUAAAACUAUUUUUCUGACUUCUCCAACUCCUUACUUAACUCCCCCUUAAUUCUAAUUAACUCCACUUAAUUCCUUUAAUUAAAAUAUAACCCUCAAAAUUCCAUACUAAUUCUAUUUCUCUCAUUAUUCUAAUAAAUACCAAAAAUAAAUCAUUUAAUAAAAUAUAACACACCACAACACCAACAAUAAUUAUUUAAAAUCAUAUAAAAGACUCUAAAUAAAUCAUAAUAAAUAAAAUAACGACUAGGGCGUUACAAUCUUCAUUACAAAUUGAGUUUAUUCUUAAGUAUCUGGGGUUACCUAUCGAGAAUGCUCUCAAGGGGGGUAUUUAUAAUAUUUCUUGGGCUUGUCUUUCAGUGACUUAGGGCCCAUGUAACUUGGGCCCUAAGUCACAUUUAGAGCGUUCUAGGUGCUUCUAGAAGCCUUCUGAGGUGGUGCCCUUAGUAGGAUGCAUCUAGGGUUGUUAUGAUCCUUUUGAAGGGCAUUGUGCCCAUAAUUACAUCUUAACAGUCCACAACCCCCAAGCACGAAUCUUGGGACAAGGCAAAGUCAUUAAUUAUGAAGUUGAUAGUUCACAACUCCCCAUUGAUGAUGUUUUUUGUAUUUAAUCUCUUAGUCUAUUCAUUAUGUUUAUGAAAUCUUCUUAUCUUGGAUAUAUACUCACCUACAUUGCGUAUUAGACUCCUAUACCCUUGUUUGGUACAAAUAUUCAAGACGAAGAACUUUAGACGUUGUGAGCUUGAAGUACAACGAGGAGUCUUUCUCGUCAAUCUUUCUUUUCAUUAGAAGUUUAUUUUGGGCCAAUGAUUUGAUUAUGUAACACUAGGGAAUUGGGGUUUUUAUAUUAUUUUCAAACUUUGUUUUGAGAUUCUUAUUUGUUAAGAUAAUGUCACAAUGUUUUGAAAUUAUUUGCGCUGCACUGUUUUUAUUUAAAUUGAAGUGCUUUUGAACGAUGAGAAUGUGACACCCUUGUGGAUUAAAUUUUAUUUGUAUUUUAAAUUAGAAAAAUAAUAGUCAGGGUUAGGGUGUUACAGACAUCAUCAUCCAAAUCUUAUGUUUUGAUAGAUGUGUAAUAACUUUGAUAUGCAUCACCUUCCAAAUCUUAGAUUUGAUAUGCAUCAUCAUGCAAAUCUUAUGCUUUGAUAGGUGUGUAUUAGAUUUCAUAGGUAUCUUCCUCAAAAUCUUAGCUUUGAUAGGCAUCAUCAUGCAAAUCUCAUGCUUUGAUACACGUGUACUAGCUUUGAUAGGCACGCACUAUCUUUGAUUGUCACCAUCAUACAAAUCUUAUGCUUUGAUACGUGUGUAAUAGAUUUGAUAGGCAUCAUCAUCCAAAUCUUAUGCUUUGUUAGGCCUGGUCUAGGUUUGAUAGACAUUCUCAUCCAAAUAUUAUGCUUUGAUAUGUGUGUGCUAUCUUUUAUAGGUAUCAUCAUUCAAAUUCUUCCCAAGUGUCAAGAGUAAUGCGUGCAACAAACUAAGUAUUAUCCAUGCAAUAACUCAGUAUCAUGACUCAUGAGGAAUACAUGCAACAAACCAAAUGUCAAGAGGAAUAUAUGCAACAAGGCAAAUGUUACCCAUGCAAUAAACCAAGUGUCAUGAUAUAAUAUAUGAAAAGUAAUUGUCAUAUUUGCUUUACAAAACUGCUUGAUUUUUUUACUUUCACUGCCUAUGAACUCAUACUUUAUGAACUCUUGCCAAGAUCAAAGACUACAUUGAUCUAAACACAUGUUAUACUCAAGAUAUGUACACGAAAAUUAGUUAAUGAACAUGUAACUAGAUCUUAAUCAAGUAUCAUUCCACAAGUCAUAUUAUAAAAACUCUUGUGAAUUUCAAACUAUGUCAAUGGUUUGAGCUUCUGCCAAUACUUGAACUUCAUUACUACAUUAGAUGUAAAUUACAUAUAAUUUAGUUUACAAAGAAGUGUUCUAGAAUGUUCGUUAAUUAAUGUUAUUAUUAUUACUCAUGUGAUGUCGUAAUGGAGUUUCAAUAGUAUUAUAUUUAAUGUGCUUUUAAUUUAUUAUGCUCAUAUAUUGUGCUCAUCAUUUUCCCGUGCGAAGCACGGUUGCACAAUCUAGUUCUUAUAUCCUUGAUUACAAUGGGUGCUCCAAUCUACCUUUCAUGAUCCACGGUAAUUAACUACCAUUUAAGUUUUUUUUUUUUUAAGUUGUAUAUGUGGAACGGUAGUUAACUACUGCCGAAAAAACUGAACGGUAGUUAACCACCGUUGGAGGCAAAAACGUAUUUUCCAUGUGUGUUUAAGAUAUUUCAUAUGUGUAAAAAGUAAUUUUCAUAAAACAAAGUGUUGUAACUAUGAACUAUUGGGCUUAUUAUUUUUGAACCGUGGGCCUGUUUAGGCUUGUUUUUUGAACCGUGGCCUUUUAAGAUGAUAAAGAAAUUUUGAACAAAAAUGUAAUAGUAAAAUAACAAAAAAACAUAAAAAAACUACAUAAUUUUUUUUGUACAAUAACAAUUAUAAUCUACCAAAAAAUGACAACUAAAUAAUGGUAAAAAUAUUAUACUAUUUUAAUAAUAUAAUAUAUUGUUUUAGUCUAUAUAUGAUAAUAAAUAUAAUAGUAUAUUAUUUUAAUCGUAUCUGUGUUGCGUUUCUGCAUUGCGCCUUUUUUUGGGUUGGUCGCACCAUGCUGCAAUCCCGUAAUUUUUUUACCCUAUUGUUUUGGCCACACCAAAGCAUGAGUCCUAUAUCCGCCCAUGCUUAUGACUAUUAUUACUCCCAUCUUCCCCCAAAUAAGUUCUUUAUGUAUACUCUAUAAAUAUUCAGCCAAAUUUAUAACAUAAGAAUAUUCAGCCAAUAGAUAGAUUUUAGAAUUCUAAUAAUUUUUGUGUAGAUUUGAAUUUAAAUUUAAAUUAAAAUACAAGUUGAGUUGUUAAAGAUAAUUUUGUUAAAAUAAAGUCUAAUUAAAAAGUAGUUAAGUGAUAGUUAACUUUAAAAUUGACUUUAUAUGAUGAUGAUGAUAUAAAUACUUAUUUUUUGAAAGUCUCUCUUGAAUUUAAUGAGUAAACUAAUGACACCGUUCCUAAAAUGAAGUUUAUUGAGACUAUUGAUCCUCUCCAGUCUCCAUCCUUGGAAGGUCCAAAUUUCAAUUCGAUGAUUAACCACAUUCUUGGUUCAAAAAAUAUAUAUAUACAGAUACUUCUUUUUAUUAUUAUACCUUUGAAAUAUAUAUGAAGUAAACUAUGUUUGCAUUGAGAAAUAUAUAUGCCUAAUCAUAUUGAAAAUCAUUUACUACUUGGUAGGGCAUUAUUAACAUUUUUUUUUUAUAAGCAAGGAGAGAGGACAGGCAUCAAGAGACAUCAUCGACAUCCCAACUAAGUUGACACUUUGAUAGACCUCCAUCCUAUGCCGCCAAACUCAAAAUCUUUAAUUAAAAAAGGGCAUUAUUAACAUUCAAAUUAGCAUAUGAUUGGUUUUAUUAACACCCCAUGUGGCUUAUGAAUGUCAGUAAAAUGUCAUGAUUUCUACUAUGAGCAAUGCUAUAUCUCUAGAAAAAUAACAUCAAGAAUUCUUCAAGAAUAAAGAGCAGUCAAUCACAAUGCAUUAUUUGCCACAAUUCAAGGAGAUGUGGCUGAAAACUAGGAAGUGAACGAAUAAACCAUGUAAUUAAAACUUGCCACCCGUAUCUUGAAAAAUUCUUGAUGCUAUUUUUCUAGAGAAAUAAAAUUUUCCUUUCUAACCACGAUUUUACAUUGCCCAGCCUUUUCAGGAAAGAAAUCCCCCAUUUCCUGAAUCUGCAUUUAAAACUAUCAUUACAAAAGGUGGCAUAUAAAUUCUAAAGACAUCCCACUAAGAAUCAGUUAAUGUCAGGAAUUAUGAUUGAAAUAUUUCUAGAGUGAAUUACAAGGAGAAUGUCAAUUUUUUUUAAGUGAAAUAAUAAUUUUUUAAUUUGCUUAAUCAUCUAAAUUCUGGAGGAAGAUGCCUUAAUAAUCAGAAACUUGAACGAAAAAUAAAUAAGAUCUGACAUAAGUUUGUUGUACCAAUGAUUUGAACUUGCAUUUGUUCACAACGAUUAGUUCUUAACUUGAGUUAUAAAUUAACAACAUUUUGAACAAGUAUCCAUUAACAAGUUUAAAAGUUUACACCGGAUAAAAUUAUAAUAAAUCUGUUAGCAAAGGCCCUAUUCAGGAUACAACCCAACUACAGUCUAGGCCCAACAGACUCACCAAAAAGCCAGCUCACCUAAGUGACUAUGUGUGAUGGUUCAAGUGCUAGAAUAAAACUGCAGCUAGCUGGUAAAAGCUUUGCAUAGGAUUCCAAUUAUUGUACUAAGUCUUAUCUUUUACAUUGUUGGCAGUAGGCCGUUAGUGGUUCCCCCUAAUAAGGGCAGCCAUAGGAUCACUUGUGUAAUAGCCAUCAGAUCUAUACUCUAUGGCCAUAUAAACUCAAUUGAGACAUGAAAUAAAACAAGCAGAAAUUAUUUCCUACUUCUUAUCUAAAUUCUUAAGGAGGAUUCCCUUGUCCUAUCCCAACAAGGAACAAAACCCUAACAAAUUGGUGCUUUCAUUGCUCCUAUUCACCUCCCAUGGCUCCAACAAAUUCUGAGAGAUUAGAUGACCUUGCAGCCAAAGUUGAUACCAUCAUUCAACAAAUCGCCAUUCUCACCACUGCUCCUACUUCCCCUUCACCAACACCACCACCACCACCACCCCAUCCCUUACCACCACGAAUGAAACUCGAUGUUCCCAAGUUCGAUGGUACAGAUGCUAUGGGCUGGAUUUUCAAAAUAAACUAGUUCUUUGAUUUCCACCAAACCCUUGAGGAAGACCGACUCACCGUCGCAUCUUUCUACAUGGAGGGCCAAGCUUUAAGCUGGUAUCAAUGGAUGCAUAGGAACCAGCAAAUCACAUCUUGGUAUGGUUUCCUUCAAGCUUUAGAAACUCGUUUCGCUCCUUCUUAUUACGACGACCCAUCCAGCACGUUGUUCAAACUCACUCAACGCUCUUCCGUGAACCAAUACCUCAAUGAGUUUGAGCGCCUCGCCAAUCGAAUCGUUGGCUUACCACAACCAUUUCUCCUCAGUUGCUUUAUCUCCGGCCUUACACCGGAAAUCCGCCGUGAGGUACAGGCUAUCCGACCAGCUUCACUCUCACAAGCAACAGCACUUGCCAAACUUCAGGAAGACAAAGUGGAAGAUCGCCGUCGCCACUUCAAAGGUAAAAACCAAAACCCUUCAUCUCUUACUGUUAUACCAUCUACUUCAAACCUACCCCCUCUACUACCUGCACCGCCCACUUCCCGUGUUAACUUCAGAAAACUCUCAACCGAAGAAAUGGCCUCAAGAAGAGAAAAGGGGCUUUGUUACAACUGUGACGAAACCUUCACCCCACACCACAAAUGCAAAGGCCGAUUCUUUCUACUCAUUUCUGAUGAAGGCUUUGACACCGACCUACCAAACGACACCAUUUCACCACCUCCUGAACUAGAAAACAACCCCCCCACCAUUAUUACCGAACCAUCAGAACAAGAAGCACAAAUCAGUUUCCACGCCAUCUCCGGCGGCAAUGAUCCAGCAACCAUACGCAUACAAGGCUACAUUUCCAACCACCCUGUCACUGUCCUUAUCGACGGUGGUAGUACCCACAACUUUGUUCAGACUCGGCUAGCUAAAUUCUUAGAGCUGCCUUCACAUCCAACAAAUACUCUGAAAGUUAUGGUUGGGAAUGGAAGCAUAUUGGAAGGUCACCAACUUUGCUCAGCCAUCCCUAUCACCCUACAAAAGGAAACUUUUACCAUAGAUUUCUACUCCCUACCCCUUUGCGGCGCUGACGUCGUCUUAGGUGCUCCCUGGCUACGCUCUAUUGGGCCGGUUCUUAUGGACUACACCGCCCUGACACUAUCCUACAAGCGCGAUAACCAAACCAUCACUCUUACUGGCAACCAAACCAAUGGGCCCAACCCUAUUUCAGCCCAACAACUCAAACGAUGUGUUCAAACCCAUGGAGCAUCCGAAAUGUUCCAUAUCCAAGCCAUAAACCAAACCGCUACCCAAACCCUACCCGACUCAAAACCUCAUCCACUACCAGCUAUUCAAACUCUACUUCAUUGUUUUAACAAUAUAUUCUCAGAACCCACCCACCUCCCACCUUCUAGACCAUCAGAUCACCGCAUCACUCUUCUCCCCAACUCAAACCCUAUCAAUGUACGACCCUACAGAUACCCCUAUUUCCAAAAAAACGAAAUCGAGAAACAGAUCCAGAACAUGCUUGCCUCAAACACCAUCCAACCCAGUCACAGCUCCUUCUCAUCACCGGUAUUGUUAGUAAAGAAAAAGGAUGGAACAUGGCGAUUCUGCGUCGACUACCGCGCUUUGAACAACAUCACUAUCCGUGAUAGAUUUCCAAUGCCAACAAUUGAUGAACUGCUCGAUGAACUGAAUGGCGCCUCUUGGUUUUCAAAGCUCGACCUCCGGCAAGGAUUCCACCAGAUCCGGAUGCAUGAAGAGGAUAUUCCAAAAACUGCGUUCCGUACACAUCAGGGACACUAUGAGUUCAAAGUCAUGCCUUUCGGCCUCUGCAAUGCACCGUCGACAUUCCAGUCAUCCAUGAACAAGCUUUUCAGUCCCUUUCUCCGACGUUUUGUCAUCGUCUUCUUCGACGACAUUUUGGUUUAUAGCAAAACAUUCCAGGAGCACUUACAACACCUUGAACAAGUUUUUAACACCUUGGUCUCUGAUAAUUUCUUUCUGAAACUGUCCAAAUGUCUAUUUGCCCAAAGACAACUGGAGUAUCUGGGCCACAUGGUCUCUCCCGAAGGUGUCUUCCCUGAACCAUCCAAGAUACAAGCCAUCCUUGAUUGGCCUCUGCCCAAAACAGUCACUGAACUCAGAGGGUUUUUGGGACUAACAGGAUUUUACCGGAAAUUUGUUAAGAGCUACGCUACCAUAGCACUCCCGCUCACAUCCCUACUCCGUAAAGACGCCUUCAUCUGGACAGACGAAGCCACUGCUGCCUUCCAAGCCCUCCAACAAGCCAUGACCAACACUCCCACACUAGCAUUACCAGAUUUUACUCAACCCUUCGUGCUGGAAACCGAUGCCUCUGGCCUAGCUAUGGGGGCAGUUCUGAUGCAAAAUUCACACCCUAUUGCCUUUUUCAGCAAACCAUUCUGUCAUCGCUUGCGCCGGUCCUCCACAUACGUCCGUGAAUUACAUGCCAUCACCACCGCAGUCAAAAAAAUGGCGACAAUAUUUGCUAGGUCAUCCUUUUGUCAUCUUCACAGAUCACCAGAGCCUCAAAGAAUUGCUCACCCAAGUAAUUCAAACACCUGAACAACAAGUCUAUUUGGCUAAACUCAUGGGGUAUGAUUACUCUAUCCAAUACAAAUCUGGCAAAACAAAUGUCGUGGCCGACGCACUCUCCCGCCUUCCAGAGACAACCUCAGGUACGCUUCUUACUCUCUCUAUGCCCCAUUUCACAUUCUUAGAGCACCUCAAACUAGCAUUGGCUGCUAGCGUUCCCUUCAACACCCUACUCACCGAAAUUCAACAAAACCCCCAUUCAAAACCAGACUACAAAAUCCACAAUGGACUCAUACUUUACAAAAACCGAAUUUGGCUCGACCCCUCUCUGCCCUUUCGCCUUUCCAUUCUUGAGGAAUAUCACGCUUCCCCAAUGGGCGGUCACAUGGGAAUAGCCAAAACCUUGGCCCGUUUACAAGCCAAUUUUUGGUGGCCUGGUAUGCUACAGGACAUCAAAACCUUCAUCACCAAAUGCCUCAUUUGUCAACAAAUGAAGUAUGAAACCAAAAAAACCCCCGGUUUACUUCAACCUAUUCCACUUCCAGCAGCUAUUUGGGAAGAUUUAUCUCUGGAUUUCAUCACAGGCUUACCCCCAUCCAACAAAUACACCGCAAUUCUUGUAGUAGUUGAUCGUUUCUCUAAAGGUGUGCACUUAGCCCCCCUCACUCCCAACUACACAGCACACAAUGUAGCCAAUAUCUUCUUCAACACAGUUUGCAAAUUACAUGGCAUCCCUCGAAGCUUAAUUUCAGAUAGAGACCCCCUUUUCAUCAGCAAGUUUUGGCGUGAAUUAUUCUCCCUUUGUGGCACUAAGCUGCGAAUGAGCACUGCGUAUCAUCCGGAGUCCGACGGACAAACCGAGGUAUUCAACCGCGUCCUGGAACAGUAUCUGCGUUCUUUUGUUCACAACAAACCGUCUCAGUGGUCGAAGUUCCUUUCCCUAGCUGAAUGGUCCUACAACACCUCAGUUCACUCAGCAACAGGGUUUUCUCCCUACCAAAUCACUUUCGGGAAAGAGCCACCAUCCAUUCCCCACUAUCUACAAGGAUCAUCCACAAUAGAAGUUGUAGACACAAUGCUGGACUCACGACAACAGUUAAUUACCAAACUCCGUCGUAAUCUGCUCAAGGCACAGGACACAAUGAAAUACUUUGCUGACCAGAAUCGAAGAGCAGUGCAAUUUGAACCGGACCAAUGGGUCUAUGUACGACUCCGUCCUUACCGUCAAAAAGGUCUUUCAGACACUUCCUACACCAAGCUUUCCAAACGCUUCUAUGGCCCAUUCCGUAUCACUGAAAGGAUUGGUAGUGUAGCAUAUCGCCUCCAAUUACCACCCCAGUCAAAAAUUCAUCCUGUUUUCCAUUGUUCAUUACUCAAGCUUCACCAUGGUCCCAUUCCGACUUCUACUGAUCUUCCUCCAUCAGCCAUUGACAAUCACCCUCUAAUUGAACCAAUAGCUAUACUCAACUACAAAAUGGAUACAUCCACCAGCCCCCCUGCUCCUAUGGCCUUGGUCCAAUGGAAAGGUUUAGCACCUGAAGACACCAGCUGGGAAGACUGGAACUCUAUUCAACAACAUUAUCACCUUGAGGACAAGGUGAUUUUUCCAGACCCAGGCAAUGUUAGCAAAGGCCCUAUUCAGGAUACAACCCAACUAUAGUCUAGGCCCAACAGACUCACCAAAAAGCCAGCUCACCUAAGUGACUAUGUGUGAUGGUUCAAGUGCUAGAAUAAAACUGCAGCUAGCUGGUAAAAGCUUUGCAUAGGAUUCCAAUUAUUGUACUAAGUCUUAUCUUUUACAUUGUUGGCAGUAGGCCGUUAGUGGUUCCCCCUAAUAAGGGCAGCCAUAGGAUCACUUGUGUAAUAGCCAUCAGAUCUAUACUCUAUGGCCAUAUAAACUCAAUUGAGACAUGAAAUAAAACAAGCAGAAAUUAUUUCCUACUUCUUAUCUAAAUUCUUAAGGAGGAUUCCCUUGUCCUAUCCCAACAAGGAACAAAACCCUAACAAAAUCAUGUGUAUAUAUACUCCCUCUGAUCAUAUUUAUAAGAAAAAAAACAACUUUUGUGGUACAUUGAAUAACCAAUGUAUCUGACAUAUAAAUGUGACAAGAUACAUUAAUUAUUUAAUGAAUAUUUUAAAAAUUUGUUUUUUGCUUAUAAAUAUGAUCGGAAGGAGUACAAGUUUAAAAAUAGUUAUGAUUAAAGUUAAAUGAUUAUAAUAAUAUGAAGAUUAUGAUUGUCAUUCAAAAAAAUACAUAUACGAGGAUUACAAUUGAUCGACGGUGUAAAAAAUAAUUACACUACGAAUAUCACUCUUAACCUAAGAUGUUCUUGUGUUUGGAUGGACAAUAGAAAAACAUACAUACGUGGACUUGACUUAUGUUUCCUAGUUGUGGAAUUGGGGACUAAGACUUUUACUGUGACACAUGCAGCCUUCAAAAUCUCUUUUAUUAAAAUGGCCAAAUAUAAUAUUUAACGUACUUUCAUAUCAUUUGUGUUUGACAUUUUUGACUUCCUAACAACAAAGACUAUUGAUCUUCUACAAAAAAGCUCAAAGGAUGAUACAUAACAAUGUUGUGUCUUAUAAAUCCAUAAAAGUUGUGUUUUUGGAUGAUAAGUUUUGUCAUCCAAAGAUGAUUAACCUAACAAUUUUUUGCUCUAUUUUCCUUUCAUACUAGUAACGUAUAAAUAAAUCCCUACAAUAUAUGCCAAAAAACUAUGACAUGUAAAUAAAUUAUAAAUAUAUAUGGUUAUUUUUGUGCAAGUCAUUCAAUUGUGUCUAAAGAAAGAUGAAUGUUAAAUCCACUCAUAAAGGGUAAACAAAGGUGUGGCUUUGAUUGGUGCUCAAAGAUUUAAUAAAAGGGUAUGGGAAAGACACCUUCGUUUAGGGAGCAAGUAAAAGAAAAAGGCAUAAAAAAGGGGUUUCAUCCACUCAUAAAGGGUAAAGAAAGGUGUAACUUUGUUAUUUCUUUGUUUUCAUGUCUACCACAAAGGGAUACAGCAGACCCUAGCUUGUAUAUAUAAUGAUGAUGAAUUUGCAGUACGUGUGUAUCUCUCAAUCUCUCAAUAUAUAUAUAUAUAUAUAUAUAUAUAUAUAUAUGAGGGGGAUAUUUUAACUCGAAGAGUAAGUUUGUUCACUUACUCCAAAUCUUAGUCUUUAAUUGUAUUUUCAAUUAAUGGUUUGAAUUGAUUAAUAAUAAGUGGUAUGGUAGGCUAUAAUUUUCUUCUCUAUUAAAAUUAACUCUCAUCACCCUAAAAUGGCAAAACAUUCAAUGACUUGAAUUGAUUUUUUUUUAUUCUUUUCCCUUUGCUUUUUUUCUACACGCAUGAUAAACUGCAUAGUUUUUCUUUUUGAAGGAAAAAAAUUGUAUUUUUUUAAAGGAAAAAGAAAAACUAUAUAGAGAGAGGGGGGAUACAUACACGUCCUUAGUGCUAAUAAUUUAAAAUAAAUUAAUUAAUAAAAUGUAGUUGUAUGUAUUAAUAUCAUAUCGUAAACACACAUGUUUCUGAUAAUCCUACAAUUUUUAGUGAAGAAAACAUGUGAUAUUUAUUUUUUAUUUUUUAUAUAAUGAAGAAAGCAAACAAUAUAUGUCCUCUCAUCCAUAUGUGGUAGUUUUUUUUUCCCUCUGCACAACUAUAUGCAACUUUAUUUUUCGUUUUCCUUACAGAAAAAUAUACAAUUUUUUUUUGCUAAAAAAAUAUAAUUUUUUUCCUUCAAAAAGAAAGACCAAGCAGUUUAUUAUGCGUGUAAAAAAAAAUGCAAAGAGAGAACAAUAAAAAAACAAUUCAUUCAAAGUCAUUUGUUUUGCCAUUUUGGGGUAACGAGAGUUAACUCGAAUAGAGAAGAAAAUUAUAGUCUACCAUACCAUUUAUUAUUAAUCAAUCUAAACCUUUAAUUGACAAUACAAUUAAAAGUCAAGAUUUGAAGUAAGCAAACAAACUUACCCCCCUAUCUCUCUCUCUCUAUAUAUAUAUAUAUAUAUAUAUAUAUAUUCUUGCAUAAUAUGAAAAUAAACAUACAAAUAUAUUCUAAUAAAAAUAAAAUUAAAAGAACAAUAUUUUUAUUUAGAACUUCACAAGAAUUUAUUUAUUUAACAAGUAGGGUGUUUUUUUGAAAGAAAAAAAAUUAGAGAAAUGAGAAAUUUUUAUUAAUUAAAAUAAUAUUAACAAUUGUUGAACUAAAGUGGGUUUUAGAACAAUGUCUCUAAUGUUUUAAUGAUAACAAUGUAUGAAAGAACAAUUGAAUACUUAAUGUGUGUUGAAGUGUGCAGGACCAUAAAAUUAAAUUCUGAAUUCAAAGUCAAGUUUUGGUUCUGAUACAUCAAGUUCCGAACAGAUAAAAUCAUAUUGGUACUCAAGAGAAACUAGGAAGACUUUGAAGAUAGAGAAGAUGAUCUGAAGAAAUGUCAACAAAAAGUCAAAGCUCUAAUUAGAAGUUUUAUCAAGCCUCGAAGGAGACGUCAGCAGACAACACUCUAAAGAGACUCUGACCACUUUUGUCUUCUUCUAAAGAAACAUCGUUGUCAAAUUCUAAUUGUAUUGUUUGUUUUCUUAUGAAAUUACGCCAAAACAAACAAAGAACUUCAAUGACAAAUAGAAUAUAAUGGAUCAUUCUCAAAGAAGCAAAUGACCCCUCUUAUACUAUUCAAAUAUAUUAUCCAAUUCAAAUAUAUUAUCCAUUAGAUGCAAAGUUUUGAGAUUGAUCAAAGCUUCACAAGGACGCUUUUGACGCGCUGGCUUUCUUCAAACAACGACUCUCUCUUUCCCUCUACCUCCCCCCCGCUCUCUCUCUCUCUCUCUCUCUCUCUAUCUAUCUCUCUAUCUCUCUCUCACACACACAGAGACAGACACACACACACACACACACACACAAAUCUGAGCAAUUUGAAAAUCUUAAGGGACUUCAUAAAAUUUACAAAUGGCAAAACUUUGUGUAAAUCAAAAGCUCAUAAACGUUUAGAAAAUUCUUACAAACUUUAUAUUUUAGGAUUUCUUAGUGUCAGAAGUUACUUGAACUUUAAUUUUUGUUUACCAGUCUCUAAGUAUAAAGUGUAAACACAAUCAAACUUAUUUGAUAAACUCUUAUUGCAGAAGUCCUCUUAUGCGAGACAAUAAAAUCUUAGAUUUGUGUGUCUAAGUAACUGUAAUCUUGUGUGAUUAUAUAAAAAGAAUCCCUUAAAAGUACAACAAGACUUGACUAACCUCAGAUUGUGGGGUGAACUAGGACAAUAUGCUUGCUUGUUUUGUCUCUCUUCCCUCUCUUCGGUUAUUUUGCUUGCUUUGUUUUUUUAACCAUAUUAAAAAGAUUUUAAGAAAAAACCAACACAAUUCAACCUCCUUUUGUGUAUUUUUCUCACCAUCAAUAGUCAUUUUAGGAUUGUCCUUAAUAAAAUUUGAACGUAAAGUUCUUACUUCUUAGCAUUGAUACACAUAUUUUAACAAAAAAAAUGUUAUCUUGAUAUACAUGUUUUUUUUUUUUUAAUUAUAGUUGGAUGUUGAUUCAACUUUUUUAUUGCUAUUCUAAAACUUAAAUAUUCUUGUCAAAAAAAAAAAAAACUUAAAUAUUAUCACAAACCGUUAACAGUUCAAAUAAAAUAUGUUGUAAAAGUUUAACGCGAAACCAAUAAUUUUAUUUUAUUUUUUAUUUUAUCUAAAAUGUACCAUUUCAUCAACCAAUAAAUAAAUAAACGUCCAAACAUAUUUUAUCAUAAUUUUGUGUUAUAAUAUCAGGUUAUUUUUAAAUUUCAAUAUAUAAUUACGAAUAUGUACAUGGUAAGUAUAAUUGAUUGUCUAUGCAAUAUUUUUUGUUAUAUAAGUUCAAAGUAAUUAAAUUCGUGAAUUUUUUCUUAGUCUUUUUUUUUUAUAGAAAAUUUCCUUGUCCUUCACAUAUAUGAAAUGUAGGAUUUAGAUUCUAUGCAGCAAAAGUAUAUAAUUAAUAAGACAAGCUUGUCCGUCGAAAAAAUCAUGUGGUUAGAAUAAAGGAAAUAUUUUGUUGGACACCUAAUGCUAUUCUACUCCAAGAGAUAGAGGGUAUAAGAGAGAGAAGUGAUGAAUGUAAUGAAGAGAGAUAUAGAGAGAAUAAAGAAUGUUAAAUGAUUUUUUGUACAAGCUCUAUCCACUGGGUUAUUAGAUCGGAAAAAAAAGAGAGAAUAUAGGUGUUAAAUGAAUGUAAAUUGUUGUAGUAUUAAAAAAUCAUCACUCAAAAGAGAUUAUCGACCACAUACAAUUUGGAUCCAUAUAAUGAACAGUUUCAAGACAAAAAUCUACAAAAAGAAAAUAAUCUCCUAAAGCAAUAUUGAUUUUCACUUUAGGAAAACAUUUCAUGCAUGCAUGGACAUGCAUCCAUAUACACUCAAAUAAAUACUUGUUAAACCUUAAAACCUAACUAAAGUGUUAGAAUGAGAGUUAAGAAGUUACAUUAAGAUGCUAUAUAUGAAAAUCACCAGACAAAACACUAACCAAAUGAGGAAAAAAAUGAAGAAGAUUGGGUUGAGCAUAUGAUGUAACGAAGUUGAGGGACCUUAGCUCAAAACUUUAAACAAAAGGGAGAUAUUAUAUACUUUUGUGUGUACCAGAAUUUCUUUCAAAGAUAUGCAGUACAAAAGGGUUUUUCCCAGAGAUAACAUAAAGACAUCCCAUACAUAACAUAUUAACUUUUAGGGUAAGGUACAAGAGCACUCUAAUUCCUUGUGAUCUUGACUUUCAUUUUUGUGUCCUUUUAAUUUUCAGGGUUCAAACAAGGACAAUCAUAGCAUCUACGUAUACAUGUAUUCAUUCAUUGCAACUAUAAUAAAACACCAAUUUUUUUUUUUUGUUUUUAUUCUAUAUGAAGAAAAUGUAAUACUCCACCAUAGGAAAAGCGAAGCGUGUUUUUUUUUUUUUUUUUUGAACAAAUCAAAAUGGAAUAUAUUGCUCAAAAGAAAAGUGAUUCACCCAGCACAAGGUGUGCUAAAAACGAUGAAUCACUCAAAGUCUGAUACAGAAACUAAGUGACUGACACAAGCACAUGUCACCGUCAACUAAAAAAUAAAUAAAAUUAGACAGCCCCUAUACAAAGAAGUGGGUGCCACCACCAAUCAUGAAAACCAAACGCCAUUGUUACAGAAUUUGACGAAAGCCAUAAAAAAGAAUUCAACUUCACCUUUUCGACAAUAUUGACGAAGCGUGUUGUUAACUUGUUAUUGACUACUAUGUACUUUGCCCUUUAGGGCCUCUCAUUUCGUUUUACAUAUAAGGAUCUUUUGUCAUCUCACUAUUGUAUUUUAGUGUUUUCUAUUAAUAUUUUCAUUAUUUUAUCAAUUUAAAUUUACAUUCAAACGAUUAAUGAUUUUAUGUAAAUUUUGAAUGUGUGGGUGGCAGCUAACGUCGAUAAAAAAUGGAUCCCUGAAAAAACGAUAAAAAAUGGUACAAAAUUUACGUAGUGUUUUCAAAAUUUUAUGUAAGGAUCACUACUGACAAGACGGAUUAUAAGGCGAUAUGGUAUUACCCACACCUAGUAGCAAGGCAAUUUAGUCUAAGCCAACUCCAUCCAGCCUCUAUAGCCAUGAUUCUUAAGUCAAUUUAUGAUGAUGAUUUUGACGAGAUGUGAGAGGCUCAGAUUUUGACGAGAUGUGAGAGGCUCAAUAUCAAUAAUGUCUUCUGUAACGCUCUAUUUUUAUUAAAGCAAUAAUACAAACGAAUAAUGCAUUUAUUUAAAAAAUAGACGCUACGUCUUCACAUCAAAAUUCAAACAACAUGCAUAUAUAAAUCAUAAUUCUCUAAAAUAUACAAGUCAUAAGAUCAAUAUACAUCAUCAUAUAAAAUCUCUAAAUCCCGACAUAUUGGCAAAAUCUCAACAACAUAAACAAAUCUAGAAUAAUCAUAAAGAUAGACAUCCUAGAUCAGAGCCUAUCCUAAGACUCAAAAGAAAACGAUAACGGAGAUAGCUCCCGCUAUCCAAGCAAUCACCAAGCAACUCACCAAAAACAAACUAAUUCUGCACUUCGUCAACCCAUUUAUACAAACAGGUAGGCGGUCAAAACCACUAGGGGUUAGCUUCACAUCAAUCAUAAUCAACAUAAACAUUCAAGGAUUUCAUGCAUAACACAUAUACAUACCCAUCCCUCCUAGAAUACUAACAUCACAUGAUUAUUAUCCCCCAUUCCAUACACCUUAAGCUAUCACAUUAAUAACAUAGCAUAGCAAGCAUAUGCAAUCUCUAAACAAGUCAUCGACAUAAGCUCAUCAUUUAUCAACAUCAAUCAAUGAAAGGAUUACUCACCUUAUUCUUCCCUUAGCAUACUUAACUCAACAAGUACAAUUCGUCAUUUCAAAGUUAUAAGCAAGCAAUUAUUAUUAUCAAGGAAAUCACUACAUCAUAUAUAUAUAUAUAUAUAUAUAUAUAUAUAUAUAUAUAUAUAUAUAUAUUUAUAUAUAUAAUUCUCACCUCAUUACUAUUACCAAAAUAAUUAUCAUCAAAUAGAUUCACCAAGUGUAUAAGCACAAAUAAGUAAGACAUGAAAUUAGAGCAUAGUUCAAUUAUUUACAACCAUCAACAAAGUCCACCAAUGUACAUAUACACCAAUCCACAUAGAUCACAACAUUCAACAAAUUUCACCAAUGCACAAAUUCACCAAGUCACAUAUUCAAUUAUGACACAAUUCAUCAACCAUUCAAAUCCAAUGUCACAAAUAUGUAUUCAUCAAACACACUUAUCAUCAAACAAUCAUCAUUCACAUAUAAACAGUUAAGACUCAUGCCAAUUAUGCUAUGCGCCUAUUCCCGACACAUAUAUGCAUGUGGUAUCAAAUCACCUCAAGGUCGUCACCCAUGAUGCAACAAAAACAUCAUAUGUAAGAUUUCACGCCCGUCUUACAUUAUCGCCGAAGUAAAAGAGUAACCCUCUUUUACAACAUCAAGACUCAACAUGACUAUGAUGCAUGGACAUACAAGCAAAGAUUCGACAAUGCAAAAUCACCUCAUAAUAUUCAACAACAAUAUAAAGGAUAACCUCCAUUUAUAUUGAUCACCUCAACAACAAUUGCAUUAUCAAGUAUUUACGUCCACACAAUCAAUCAAGUCAUAAAUCAAUUGAGAGUCAUCACCACAUCAUCAUCAAUCAUUUAGCAUAUAUGCAAUCACCAACAAAAUCACCAUCACUUAACAUAUAUGCAUUCACCGACAAUAUCACAAUCAAUUAACAUAUAUGUAUUCACCAACAUUAUCAUAAUCAAUCAACAUAUAUGUACUCACCAACCAUAUCACAAUCAAUCAACAUAUAUUCACCUACAUCAACUUUAUCAUAUAAUUCAACAACAUCACACUAUUUCUCACAAUCCAAAUAAAGGAGAAAAUACUUCACAUUAUGAUAAACAUUAUAUUCAACACCUAGCAAUCAUCCACAUAUCUUCAUAUAAUCAUAACAAACUAUCCACAAAAUAUUUGCAAAGUAUUUGGUCUUAAAGAUUAUUUCCGACAAAGUUCGUCUCUCAUUUUACAACUUUAAAACAGAGCUUUAGAAAGUUCAUUUACAUUUAACUACAUCAAGCAAUCAAUUUUGGAAUGGUCCGGAUCGACCCAAAACCCUAAAAACGAAAAAAUAUGAGCUACUGCACCGUACAACUCGCCAUGGCCACUAAAUCACUCGCCAUGGCGAGUUGACACAGGAGGCACUUCCAACUCGCCUCUAGCUCGCCUCCAACUCGCCAUGGCGAGUUGUGACAUGUUGUAGAAAUUCUGCUCUCGGGAAAACUCCAUUUUUCACUCUAAAAUUCCAAUUUUGACUUCCCAAUGCCCAAAUUUGAUCCUAAGGUUUGUCUACACGUUUCUAAACAUGAAAAGACACUCAAAUCCAUAUAAAAUCUAGAACCAAACAUCAUUUCAACAAAAAUCACCAUUUGACCCAUUUUUCAUGAAAACCUUCAAGAACAACACAAAUUCACUUCAAGCUCUAUGGUUGAGAUUACCCAAGGUUUCAAUCAUCAACAAUAACUACUCACAAUCACAACAACAACAAUCAGAAGUGAAUUCAUCAGCAAUUCAUCAACAACAACAUUAUACUUCACCAAUUUUGAGCAAAAACACAAGUAUACAUAUAUACAUAACUUGAGCAUGUAAAUUCAUCAUCGAGAACUUAAUUAACAUCAAAUUCACAUACCCAAACAUUACAUCAAAGCAUAAGCACGAAUUUCAUAAUAAUCAUUUUAUACAAAUAAGCACUUAUGCAUAGAAUUAGGGUGGAAGCUACAACUAAGUGAUUAUGAUUGAAAUCUAACCCCCUUACCUCAAUAAGCAAUAAUCCUUGCAAAAGCUUCAAUUUAGCUCCUAGAAUCUCUAUCACCUCUUGGUUCUUCAAGCUUUCUCCCUUCUAACCCUUUUGCUCAUUCUCUUGAACUUUCUCUCUCUACCUCUCUCAAAAUUCUUACGAAAUGAAAUGAAAACCUAUAUUUUCCUAAAGACAAGAGUUUAUACAGGCUCCUAACAAUUGGGCUUAACCCUUAAUGCCUUAACGGGCUUAACCUGUAACGCCCUAGUCGUUAAUUUAUUUAUUUUGGAUUUAUUUAGAGUCUUUUAUGUGAUUUUAAAUAAUAUUUGUGUUUUAUGUGGUAUGUUAUAUUUUAUUAUAUAGUUUAUUUUAAUAAUAAUUAGAAUAAGUGGGAAAUUGAUAUUAUUUUGGAGUUUGGGGAGUUAAUAAGAAUUAAGGGAGUUUAAUGAAAUAUAGGGAAGUUACAUUUUGGGAGUUAAGAAAAGAGAAUAUCAGAAAAACGUUUUUACGUGAAAAUCAACUUUUGGGAGAAAAGGGAGAGAAGAGCAAGUAGAGCCAAGAACCGAUUUUUCUGUGCAUUUCUUUCUACAAAUCUAAGGUAAGGGUGAGGUUUGCUUCAUUAGUAUAGUUACUGAAUUCUGAAUUUGAUUUUAACAGGUUUAUGUGUGAAUUGGGAUUUUUAGGGUUUAGGUUGAAUUAUGAGUUUUUGAAUGAAUUGAGUGUAGAGGUUGAUGUUUUGGGGUUAGAAAUGGGUUUUGAGUGUGUAUAGCAUUUUAUUUCAUAUCUGUAAACUGAUUUGGGGAGUGAAUUGGAGGAAAAUGGGAUUUUUGGGAAAAACCUGCAUUCUACCCGUGCUGACAUUCAUCGCUCGCCCCGCGAGUAUUCUUGUCUCGCCUCGCGAGUGAGAAAUGUUCUUAGCUCGCCCCACGAGCAAGCCAACUCGCCAUGGCGAGUACCCGUGAGCAAAACAUGAUUUUUAGAUUAUUGUUAUAAGGUGUAAAAUGGAUUGUUUUAAGUACCUAGAUGAUUUUAAAUGAAGAUUUAGUGAGAAAAAUAUCAAAACUCCCGUGAGCAGCCUUUUUCUGUUCGCCUUGAACUCGCCACGGCGAGUGCCCCUUGUCCUGAGUUCGCCAUAGCGAGCAGAUGUGCUCGCGAGGCGAGUUGCCCAGUAUUUGAGUUGUUGGUUCUAUUUUGAUGAAUGUUGAUUGAUAUUGAUGUCCAACCAUGACUCUUAUAAAUGGUGUAUUUUCUAGGAUGAAUGGAUUACUUAGGUUGAUUUGUUGAUGACUGUAAUGUAUGUUGUAUUAUUUAAAUCAUACAUGUUGUUUGAAUUGCGGUGUUGUGAGUCAUAUGAAAACAUAUGCAAUGUUAAGUUGUAUGUAGAUAUACACAAGUAGGUUAGUUGCAUAAGCAUAAUAAGCGGGAGGGCUUCUGCUCUAGAACGCCUUGUCGUUCAAAGAGGUGGAACACUUGUUGUUCAAAGCGGUGAGGACUCAUGUCCUGAAAAAAAUGAAUGCUUUAACCAUUCUAAUAGCGGUGAGGGCUCUGGUCCUGAAUUUGGUACCACAUGCAUUGUAGAGGAGUCUUAGUGGAGUUGUGGAGUAUUGCAUGAGUCGAUGUUGUUGGUUUUAAUUAUCAUUUGUUGUUGAUGUUGAUAAUGAUGAUAUUUAUAUAUGUUGAUGAAUUAUUAUUAUGAUAGGGUGUUAGAUUCAAUUGAUGCAUUCAUUAUCUAUAUUUAUUGUUGUUAAUCUCACCCUUUCUGCUUGAAAAUGUUGCCCUUCAUAUGGGUAACUUGCAGGUGAUCCUGAGUAGUAGGUGGUGGCUCAAAGUUUCUAGUGCUCUGAUACGUGGGAUGGGAUUUUAAUGUUACCUUCAUUCCUAUGUAUCAAUUUUUGAAUAUUGCUGAUGUAGACCUAUGGUUGUUGAAUUUAUGUUGAUAAUGCUUUGAUGCUAAGAUUUAAUUAUGGAGAUUUAAAAAGUUGCUGUUGUUGUUUUGAUGCAAAUUUUCCGCCGCAAAAUUAAUGAUGAUUUUGAAGGAUGUUUAUUAAAUAGAAUUUAUAUUCUAUUUAAGAAAUUUUGAAAAUGUAGUGUGACAUGCCCGUUUGGGAACUACUCUGAUGCAUGUUUAUUUAUUAAUUAAUUGAUUUUGGGAAACGGGGUGUUACAUAACCCAUUUAUGGGUAGUUUCAUGGGUUUUCAUGGGUGCAUUUUCAUGGGUUUAUUUAUUAAUUUACUUCAAAGUGUCUAUGGGUGCAUUUUCAUGGGUUUAUUUAUUAAUUACCAACUAUGUUUAUUUAUUAAUUUACUUCAAAGUGUCUAUGUGGUUGGAUGAGUUAAACUUGAUGGAAUUUCUGUUUUAAUGUUAUGGUUACAUUAGUCGAGUCGAUUUGGAAGAAAACGGGAGUUUCGUUUGAAAAUUCAUUUGUUAACCGUUUUGGAAAAUGAGUGUUUGUGUGAGGUUUGUAAAAUGAAUUUGAGGUUGUUGAAACGGUGAUUUUUCUGUGCAUUAUGAUAGUGCUAAGUGUUAGGAGCAUGUAGGCGAAAACGACAUCGAAAACGGAUUAACGGUUUGAUUUUUAUGCGCGAAAACGUAGAAGUUGAAAAUCUGAUGUUGUCUGUCAAACCACAAUCGUGCCACGAUUUGGGGCCAACGUGCCACGAUUUUGACCAGGUUUUCAGCCUGUCUGAUUCUGGAAAAAUCGUGCCACGAUGGGAAACCAACGUGCCACGAUGCUGUUUGACCAAAAACCUCAAAAAUGCAAUUUUCUUCGCUCCAAUUGGUUCCAAACUUCUUCCUAAGUGUAGGGACUUUAUCCUAAUCAUCUAGGGAUGUUUUUAUGGAAGAAAUAGCUUUGUAUUAAGGGCUUAGUGAGUCCUUGUGUUUUCUUGACUUUAAUGAAACAUUUAUGAUAUGAAUCUUUGCAAAACUUGAAUUUAAGUGAGUUGGCCUAUGAAACGUUGAUGUAUACACUACUGCACUCAUAUGUGAUUUGUGUAUAUACAUGGUUGAGGUCCUAGAGUUUAUUUAUUUGGUUUUAGUUCAUUUGUUCUAAUCAUGUAAAAGGUGAUAUUUCGGGUGGGAAUGUGAAAAGUUGUGAAAUGGGGUUUUUCAUACGAACUUAAGUUGUUCUUGGAUUAAUGUUUAAUGGUCCGGAGGCAACUUAAAUUCAUGAAUACAUGAUUGGUUAAGGUUGUUUGAGAACUCUCAACUUGUCUAUGUUGUUUUGUCUUGGGAAUUGUCAAUGUUGGCCGUUUGCCACUUGACACGGUCUUUGGUCGGAAAUGUUUCUUGAACUAAUUGUCUUAUGAAUUGUGGUGACUAUUCUUAUAUGGCUAAGUGAAGUUGUAUGAAUGAAUGAUUGUAUUGGAUAUGAUGUUUAUCAUGAGAUAUGUAUGUGAUCUUACUUAGAAUGUAAGGAAUGCUUGAAUGGUGAAACUAUAUGUGAUAGUUGAUGUUGAAUGGUUAUAUGUUGGAUAUGAUAUUUGUCAUGAAAUGUUGUAUGUUCUCUUACUUGGAAUAUGAGAAUUGUUUGGAAUGGUGAAACUAUAUGAUAUAGUUGAUGUUGAAUGACAUUGUUGAUUAUUGAUAAUCAUGUUGAUGUGUGAUGGUGAAUACUAUGAUUUAAUUGUGUGUGGGCAUGUUUUCUUGGUAAUGCAAUGUUGUGGAGAUAAUCAAUAUAAUUGGGUGUUGUCCUAUAUAUUGAGUUGAGAUUGAGAAUUGUUGUCGCAUUAUCGAGUCAUUACACAUGUCCAUGCAUCAUAGUCGUUGUUGCUGUAAAAGGGAUGACUCUUUUACUUCGAGAUUAUUGUAAGGCAGGUGUGAGCCCUUACAAUCGAUGUGCAAGUGGCAUCGAAAGGUGACGACCUUGUUGAGAUUUGGUACCGCAUGCAUUUAUGUGUCCAUAAGUGCAUAUCAUAGCAUGAGUCCUAUGUGAAUUAUGUGAUUGGUGAUGAAUUGAGAUGAAUGAAUGUUGAUAAUGAUUGUCUAUGAUUGAUGUUGUGAAUGAAUAUUUAUGAUUGGAUAAUUAUUCAUGUGAUUGAUAUAUGUGGAUACGAACUAUCAAGUUGUGAUAUAAGUAUUUAUGCAUGACUAUUAUUAUUCAAGUACAUGAUAUUAUUUGAUUUGAUUAUUAUCUGGAUUAUGAUAAUGUAAUGCUUACCCCCAGUGGUUUUAACCGCCUACUUGCCUGUAUGGGUGAGUAGACGUUGUGCAGGAGUAGUCUCGGUGAGUCUUUGCUUGGGAUAUCGGGAGCUUCCUCCGAUAUCGGUGUCGUGUCGGCUCUGAUCUAGGCUUGUCGUGUCGGUCUAGAUUAGGUUGUUUAUAUUUUCGUUGGGAUUAUUAUUUUGUUGAUGACUACCCGAUGUUUGGGUUUUGAGAUUUAUCUUUUGGAUAUGAUUUAUUUGCUCAUGGCAUGUAUAUAUUUGAUCACUCUGAUUUAUAUUCCGCUGUAACUGUUGAGGUUUACAUACAUGUCUAUCGGUUUUUGAAUUUUGAAUAAGACGUAAUCUCUAUUUCUUGAAUAAAUGUAUUAUUCGCAUGUUUAAUUGCUUUAAUAGAAAUAGGAGCGUUACAAGUUGGUAUCAGAGCCAUGGUCAGUCGCGUUUAGAUUAAUCUUUGUUGUGUUGUUUCUUAUCGUUUAGAUGGUUGUGUAGUGCGAACAUGGCAGGAGGUCGUGAUGAUGCGGCGAUUGCACAAGCCUUGGCAGCGAUGGCUCAGGUUUUGGCUCAAUCGAAUGAGCAAGCGGCGAUUGGUCGUCGGAAUGAGGGAGAAGCUGAGGAGCGGAGGCUUGAUCGUUUCUUGCGAAACAAUCCACCUACGUUCAAGGGAAGGUUCGACCCGGAUGGAGCUCAAACAUGGUUGCAAGGCAUGGAGAGGAUCUUUCGUGCUAUGGUGACUAGUGAUGAUCAGAAGGUGAGGUUGGCUACUCACAUGCUUGCUGAGGAGGCUGAGUAUUGGUGGACCAAUGCUAAGGGAAGACUUGAGAUUGGUGGAGAGGUUGUGACUUGGACAAGGUUCAAGGCUGAGUUUUUGAGGAAGUACUUUCCAGAGGAUUUGAGGACUAGGAAGGAAGUGGAGUUCCUGAAUUUGAAGCAAGGGAGUAUGUCUGUGGCCGAGUAUGCGGCGAAGUUUGAGGAGCUUGCAAGGUUUUGUCCCUACAUCAAUGCGGAGGAUGCUAUGGUUUCCAAGUGUGUGAAGUUUGAAAGUGGGCUUAGGCCGGACAUCUAUCAGUACAUGUGUGUUCAGGAGAUCCGAGACUUUGAUACUUUGGUGCAUAAGUGUCGUAUGUUUGAUGAUGCUGGGAAAGCUAAGUCUAAUUACUACAAGGCUCAGGGUGAAAAGAGAGGAAGAGGACAUGGGGCUGGAAAACCUUACAGCAAGGACAAAGGAAAGAAGAGAGAAGCUGGUGGAGGCUCUAGGCCAAGUUUGGCGGAAGUCAAGUGCUUUAAGUGUGGAGCUAUGGGUCAUUAUGCUAGUGAUUGCAAGAAUGAUUUUACUUGUCACAAGUGUGGGAAAGCGGGUCACAAGGCGGUCGAUUGCAGAGGUGUUGCAAGAGAGACUACUUGUUACAAUUGUGGAGAGAAGGGUCAUAUUAGUACCAAGUGUACCAAGCCAAAGAAGGCGGCGGGAAAGGUGUUUGCUUUGAACGCCGAGGAGGUGGAGCAGCCGGAUAAUCUUAUCCGAGGUAUGUGUUUUAUCAAUAGUACUCCUUUGAUUGCAAUUAUUGAUACUGGUGCUACUCAUUCUUUUAUCUCGGCUAGUUGUGUUGAACGUUUGGAUUUGGUUGUAACUCCUUUGUUGCGUGGAAUGGUUAUUGACACCCCGGCUAGCGGUUCGGUGACUACUUCUUUUAUGUGUGCUAAGUGUCCUGUUAAUUUUGGUGAUGUUGAUUUUGAGUUGGAUCUUGUUUGUCUUCCGUUGAAGCAUAUGGAUGUGAUUUUUGGUAUGGAUUGGUUGUUAGCUUUUGGGGUUAGCAUUAAUUGUUUGACUAGGAGUGUGACUUUUUCUAAGCCGGUAGAAGAGUUAGAUAGGAAGUUUUUGACCGCGGAGCAAGUGAAGAAGUCUUUAGAUGGUGAGGCUUGUGUGUUUAUGAUGUUUGCAUCUUUGAAGGUUGGUGGUGAGAAAGGGGUUAGUGAUUUGCCGGUAGUGCAAGAGUUUCCUGAGGUUUUUCCAGAGGAUAUUACCGAGUUACCGCCGGAGAGGGAAGUUGAGUUUGCAAUUGAUUUGGUACCAGGCACGAGUCCUAUUUCGAUUGCGCCGUAUCGGAUGUCUGCAUCGGAGUUGGGUGAAUUGAAGAAUCAGUUGGAAGAGUUGCUUGAGAAGCAGUUUAUUAGACCGAGUGUUUCACCGUGGGGUGCUCCAGUGUUGUUGGUUAAGAAGAAAGAUGGAAGCAUGAGGUUGUGUGUGGAUUAUCGACAGUUGAACAAGGUGACGAUUAAGAAUCGGUAUCCACUUCCAAGGAUUGAUGAUUUGAUGGAUCAGCUAGUGGGUGCAGAGGUGUUUAGUAAGAUUGAUUUGAGAUCAGGAUAUCAUCAGAUUAGAGUAAAGGCGGAAGAUAUAUCCAAAACUGCGUUCCGAACGAGGUAUGGACACUAUGAGUAUUCUGUGAUGCCAUUUGGAGUAUCUAAUGCACCAGGUGUCUUUAUGGAAUACAUGAAUAGAAUAUUUCAUCCUUAUCUGGACCGUUUUGUGGUGGUGUUCAUAGAUGAUAUUUUGGUGUAUUCAAAGUCUGAGGAAGAGCAUGCUGAGCAUUUGAGGAUUGUGUUGCAAGUCUUGAAAGAGAACCAGUUGUGUGCCAAGUUGUCUAAGUGUGAGUUUUGGUUGAAGGAAGUGAGUUUCCUUGGUCAUGUGAUUUCUAAGGGUGGUAUUUCUGUGGAUCCUUCCAAGGUUGAUGCAGUGUUGCAGUGGGAGUCUCCUAAGUCUGUUUUUGAGAUUAGAAGCUUUCUUGGUUUGGCCGGUUAUUAUCGGAGGUUCAUUGAGGGAUUCUCUAAGUUGGCGUUGCCAUUGACGCAGUUGACUCGGAAAGGACAAGCUUAUGUUUGGGAUGCCAAGUGUGAGAAGAGUUUCCAAGAGUUGAAGAAGAGGUUGACUUCAGCUCCGGUGUUGAUUUUGCCGAAUCCGAAGGAAUCGUUUGUUGUGUAUUGUGAUGCUUCUAAGAUGGGUCUUGGUGGUGUGCUUAUGCAGAAUCGUCAGGUUGUAGCUUAUGCUUCGAGGCAAUUGAAAGUGCAUGAGAAGAAUUAUCCGACUCAUGAUUUGGAAUUGGCAGCCGUUGUGUAUACAUUGAAGAUUUGGAGACAUUAUCUGUAUGGUUCUAAGUUUGAGGUGUUCAGUGACCACAAGAGUUUGAAGUAUUUGUUUGAUCAGAAAGAGUUGAAUAUGAGGCAGAGAAGAUGGUUGGAAUAUCUUAAGGAUUUUGAUUUUCAGUUGAGUUAUCAUCCCGGAAAGGCUAAUGUUGUUGCGGAUGCUUUGAGUAGAAAGACUUUGCAUAUGUCUGCUUUGAUGGUUAAAGAGUUGGAAUUGAUUGAGCAGUUUCGAGACUUGAGUUUGGUUAGUGAGUUGACACCUGAUGGUGUGAGGUUGGGUAUGUUGAAGUUGACAAGCAAUAUUUUGGAAGAGAUCAAGAAUGGUCAGAAGGAAGAUUUGGAACUCGUGAAUCGAGUGACGUUGGUUAAUCAAGGAAAAGGUGGAGACUUUAGAUUGGGUGAGACUGGUGUUUUGAUGUUUCGUGAUCGAGUUUGUGUGCCGGAUGUGUUUGAGCUUAAGAGGCAAAUUUUGGACGAAGGUCAUAGAAGUAGUUUGAGUAUUCAUCCAGGAGCAACUAAGAUGUAUCAGGAUUUGAAAAGGUUGUUUUGGUGGCCUGGAAUGAAGAAGGAGAUUGCUGAGUUUGUUUAUGCUUGUUUGGUUUGUCAGAAAUCGAAGAUUGAACAUCAGAGACCGUCGGGUUUGAUGCAACCGUUGUUUGUGCCAGAGUGGAAGUGGGAUAGCAUUUCUAUGGAUUUUGUUGGAGCGUUGCCUAAGACUAGUAAGGGUUUCGAUUCGAUUUGGGUGAUUGUUGAUCGGUUGACGAAGUCAGCGCAUUUUGUUCCUAUCAAGACUGGUAUGUCGGUAGCGAAGUUGGCUGAGAUCUACAUUGAGCAGAUUGUUAGAUUGCAUGGUAUUCCUUCUAGUAUUGUGUCGGAUCGGGAUCCGAGGUUUACUUCUAAGUUUUGGGAGAGUUUGCAAGCUGCUUUGGGAACUAAGUUGAGAUUGAGUUCUGCUUACCAUCCUCAGACCGAUGGGCAGACAGAGAGGACUAUUCAGAGUUUGGAGGAUUUGUUGAGAGCUUGUGUUUUGGAGCAAGGUGUCAGUUGGGACGAAUGUUUACCGUUGAUUGAGUUUACUUACAACAACAGUUUUCAUGCUAGUAUCGGUAUGGCACCGUUUGAGGCUUUGUAUGGUCGGAGGUGUAGGACACCGUUGUGUUGGUUUGAAUCCGGAGAAAGUGCUUUGUUUGGGCCGGAAGUUGUGCAAGAAACUACGGAAAAGGUUAAGAUGAUUCAGGAGAAGAUGAAGGCGUCUCAGAGUAGACAGAAGAGUUAUCAUGAUAAGAGGAGAAAGGAUAUUGAGUUUCAAGUUGGUGAUCAUGUGUUUUUGAGGGUGAAUCCUGUGACCGGAGUUGGUCGUGCUUUAAAGUGUAGGAAGUUGACUCCUCGUUUUGUUGGGCCGUUUGAUGUCAUUGAGAAGGUUGGGGUUGUAGCGUACCGGAUUGCGUUGCCACCGUCUUUGUCGAAUCUUCAUAAUGUGUUUCAUGUGUCUCAGUUGAGGAAGUAUGUGCAUGAUGCGUCUCAUGUGAUUCAAGUGGAUGAGUUGGAGAUAAGAGAUAAUUUGACGGUUGAGACUUGGCCGGUUAGGAUUGAGGAUCGCGAGUUGAAGCGUUUGCGUGGCAAGGAGAUUGUUUUGGUCAAAGUGAUUUGGGUUGGACCAACUAGUGAGAGUGCCACUUGGGAACCGGAGAGUCGGAUGAGGGUUUCGUAUCCGGAGUUGUUUCCUUCUGGUAAAUUUUCGAGGGCGAAAAUUCUUUUUAGGGGGGAAAGUUGUAACAGCCCGAUUUUUAGCUAGAUUUAUUUUAUGAUAUGUUUAUGUGUUUGUGUGCGUGAUUAAUCAUCAUGGGUGCAUUUUCAUGGGUUUUCGUAUUAGAAGGGUAUUUUGGUAAUUUUGUGAGAACGGGUAAAAUUAUAGUUUUGGGUGAGAAUUACUUUUAGUGUUUAGUGAGAGUGGUUAUUUCAUUAAGUUACUAGAGAAAGUCAAGAUUUUACCGUUAGUGACAUUUUACCAGCAUUCAAGGGAAGGUAUGAUCCCGAUGGUGCCCAGAAGUGGCUUAAGGAAGUGGAACGGAUUUUCAGGGUCAUGCAAUGCUCAGAGGUGCAAAAGGUGCGGUUUGGAACGCACAUGCUAGCAGAGGAGGCAGAUGACUGGUGGGUAAGUUUGUUACCUGUGUUGGAACAGGAUGGAGCUGCAGUGACCUGGGCUAUGUUCAGGAGAGAAUUCCUGAAUAGGUACUUCCUGGAAGAUGUCCGAGGAAAGAAAGAGAUUGAAUUUCUGGAGCUGAAGCAGGGUGACAUGUCUGUCACAGAGUAUGUUGCUAAGUUUGUGGAACUUGCUAAGUUCUACCCUCAUUAUACUGCGGAGACAGCUGAGUUCUCCAAGUGUAUCAAGUUUGAGAAUGGCCUGAGAGCUGACAUCAAGAGGGCUAUUGGAUACCAGAAAAUUAGAAACUUUUCGAAGUUGGUGAGCAGCUGUAGAAUCUAUGAAUAAGAUACGAAAGCUCAUUACAAGGUGAUGAGUGACCGUAGAGGCAAGGGACAGCAGAGUCGUCCUAAACAUAUAGUGCUCCUGCUGACAAGGGAAAGCAGAGGCUGAAUGAUGAGAGGAGACCCAAGAGGAGAGAUGCUCCUGUUGAUAUUGUUUGCUACAAGUGUGGCGAGAAAGGCCACAAGAGUAAUGUUUGUACUAAAGAUGAGAAGAAUUGUUUCAGGUGUGGUCAGAAAGGACACACACUAGCUGAUUGCAAGAGGGGAGAUGUUGUUUGUUAUAACUGCAAUGAGGAAGGUCACAUCAGUUCGCAGUGUACGCAACCGAGGAAGGUUAGGACCGGUAGUAAAGUGUUUGCUCUGACUGGUACGCAAACCACUAGUGAGGAUCGACUUAUCAGAGGUACUUGUUUCUUUAAUAUUAUUCCUUUAAUUGCUAUUAUAGACACUGGUGCUACUCAUUGUUUCAUUGUUAUUGAAUGUUCUUAUAAGUUGGGUCUGGUUGUAUCUGAUAUGAAAGGGGAAAUGGUUGUUGAAACUCCAGAUAAGGGUUCAUUAACUACUUCUCUUGUUUGUCUAAGGUGUCCGUUGUCUAUGUUUGGUAGAGACUUUGAAGUCGACUUAGUUUGUUUACCGUUGACGGGAAUGGAUGUUAUUUUUGGGAUGAACUGGUUAGAGUAUAACCGAGUUCAUAUCAAUUGUUUUAGCAAGACGGUGCAUUUUUCUUCUACGGAAGAAGAGAGUGGAGCAGAAUUCCUAACUAUUAAACAGUUGAAGCAGUUGGAGCGCGAUGGAAUUCUUAUGUUUUCUUUGAUGGCAUCUUUGUCGUUAGAAAAUCAAGCUGUGAUUGACAGGUUACUAGUGGUGAAUGAGUUUCCUGAAGUUUUUUCGGAUGAGAUUCCAGAUGUACCACCAGAGAGGGAGGUUGAGUUUUCAAUUGACCUUGUUCCGGGAACGAAGCCGGUGUCGAUGGCAUCUUAUCGUAUGUCGGCGUCUGAACUUGCUGAGUUGAAGAAACAGUUGGAGGACUUGCUUGAUAAGAAGUUUGUAAGACCAAGUGUUUCACCUUGGGGAGCGCCGGUGUUGUUAGUAAAGAAGAAGGAUGGUAGUAUGAGGUUGUGCAUUGACUAUCGUCAGUUUAAUAAAGUUACAAUAAAGAACAGAUAUCCACUUCCGAGGAUUGAUGACUUGAUGGAUCAGUUGGUGGGUGCAAAGGUUUUCAGUAUGAUUGACUUGAGGUCAGGUUACCAUCAAAUUAAGGUGAAGGAUGAAGAUAUGCAGAAGACGGCCUUUAGGACACGAUAUGGUCAUUACGAAUACAAGGUGAUGCCUUUAGGUGUUACUAAUGCGCGUGGUGUGUUCAUGGAGUAUAUGAACCGAAUUUUCCAUGCUUACCUGGAUAAAUUCGUGGUUGUGUUUAUUGAUGAUAUUCUGAUUUAUUCAAAGACUGAAGAAGAACAUGCAGAACAUUUGAAGAUUGUGUUGCAAAUUUUGAAAGAGAAAAGGUUGUAUGCUAAGUUGUCGAAGUGUGAGUUCUGGUUAUGUGAAGCGAGUUUUCUUGGCCACAUUAUUUCUGGUAGUGGUAUUGCAGUUGAUCCAUCGAAAGUUGAUGCUGUAUCACAAUGGGAGACUCCGAAGUCAGUGACUGAAAUCAGAAGUUUCUUGGGUUUGGCUGGUUAUUACCUCAGGUUCAUUGAAGGUUUUUCUAAGUUAGCACUUCCGUUGACUCUGUUAACCUGUAAGGGUAAGUCGUUUGUGUGGGAUGCUCAGUGUGAGAGUAGUUUCAAUGAGUUGAAGCGAAGAUUGACAACUGCUCCUAUUUUGAUUCUACCGAAGCCGGAAGAACCGUUUGUUGUUUAUUGUGAUGCGUCUAAGCUGGGCUUAGGUGGUGUUUUGAUGCAAGAUGGUAAGGUGGUAGCGUAUGCUUCUAGGCAGCUAAGAAUUCAUGAAAAGAAUUAUCCUACUCAUGAUUUGGAGUUGGCUGCGGUGGUUUUUGUUUUGAAGAUUUGGAGGCAUUAUUUGUAUGGUUCCAGAUUUGAAGUAUUUAGUGAUCAUAAAAGUUUGAAAUAUCUGUUUGAUCAAAAGGAAUUGAACAUGAGGCAGAGGAGAUGGUUGGAGUUGUUGAAGGAUUAUGAUUUUGGCUUGAAUUACCAUCCUGGUAAAGCCAAUGUGGUUGCAGAUGCCUUGAGUAGGAAAACGCUGCAUAUGUCUGCUUUAAUGGUGAAAGAAUUCGAUUUGCUAGAACAGUUUAGAGACUUGAGCCUUGUCUGUGAAUUAACACCUCAGAGUGUUCAGUUGGGGAUGCUGAAGAUUAAUAAUGAUUUCUUGAAUAGUAUCCGAGAAGCACAACUAGUGGAUGUGAAGUUUGUUGAUUUAAUGGUUGCUGGUAAUGGCACUGAGGAUAGUGAUUUUAAGGUUGAUGAUCAGGGUGUGUUGAGGUUCAGAGGAAGAAUUUGCAUUCCCGAUGAUGAUGAUGGUUCAGAGGAAAGUCACAAGAGUAGCUUGAGUAUUCAUCCGGGAGCUACGAAAAUGUAUCAUGACUUGAAGAAGCUGUUUUGGUGGUCUGGGUUGAAACGUGAUGUUGCUCAGUUUGUGUAUGCAUGUUUGACUUGUCAGAUGUCUAAGGUUGAACAUCAGAAGCCUGCAGGGUUGUUGACACCGUUGGAUGUGCCGGAGUGGAAGUGGGAUAGCAUUUCUAUGGAUUUUGUGACGAGUUUACCUAACACUCCGAGAGGGCAUGAUGCUAUAUGGGUUGUGGUCGACAUGUUGACAAAGUCGACGCAUUUUAUUCCGAUUAAUAUCAGUUAUCCGGUAGCUCAGUUGGCGGAGAUUUAUAUUCAUAACAUUGUGAAGCUACAUGGUGUACCGUCGAGAAUUGUGUCGGAUAGGGAUCCGAGGUUCACUUCUAGAUUCUGGAAGAGCUGACAAGAUGCAUUGGGUUCGAAGUUGAGGUUGAGUUCGGCUUAUCAUCCUCAGACAGACGGUCAAUCGGAGAGAACGAUACCAUCCUUGGAGGAUUUGCUGAGAGUGUGUGUACUUGAGCAAGGUGGAGCUUGGGAUAGUCACCUACCGUUGAUAGAGUUCACGUACAACAACAGUUACCAUUCGAGUAUUGGUAUGGCUCCGUUCGAAGCUUUGUAUGGUCGGAGGUGUAGAACUCCUUUAUGCUGGUUUGAGUCAGGAGAGAGUGUUGUUUUGGGACCAGAUUUGGUUCAUCAGACUACAGAGAAAGUCAAGAUGAUCAGAGAGAAGAUGAAAGCGUCGCAGAGUCGACAUAAGAGUUAUCAUGACAAGCGUUGGAAGGCCCUUAAGUUUUAGGAGGGUGAUCAUGUUUUUCUGAGAGUUACUCCUAUGACGGGUGUAGGACGUACAUUUAAGUCGAAGAAGAAGUUGACUCCAAAGUUCAUUGGUCCGUAUCAGAUUUCAGAGAGAGUUGGAACUGUGGCAUAUAGAGUUGGUUUGCCACCACAUCUUUCGAACUUGCAUGAUGUGUUUAUGACAGGUUGAAGAAAUUAUGCUCUCGGGAAAACUCCAUUUUUCACUCUAAAAUUCCAAUUUUGACUUCCCAAUGCCCAAAUUUGAUCAUAAGGUUUGUCUACACGUUUCUAAACAUGAAAAGACACUCGAAUCCAUAUAAAAUCUAGAACCAAACAUCAUUUCAACAAAAAUCACCAUCUGACCCAUUUUUCAUGAAAACCUUCAAGAACAACACAAAUUCACUUCAAGCUCUAUGGUUGAGAUUACCCAAGGUUUCAAUCAUCAACAAUCAGAAGUGAAUUCAUCAGCAAUUCAUAAACAACCACAUUCUACUUCACCAAUUUUGAGCAAAAACACAAGUAUACAUAUAUACAUAACUUGAGCAUGUAAAUUCAUCAUCAAGAACUUAAUUAACAUCAAAUUCACAUACCCAAACAUUACAUCAAAGCAUAAGCACGAAUUUCAUAAUAAUCAUUUUAUACAAAUAAUUACUUAUGCAUAGAAUUAGGGUAGAAGCUACAACUAAGUGAUUAUGAUUGAAAUCUAACCCCCUUACCUCAAUAAGCAAUAAUCCUAGCAAAAGCUUCAAUUUAGCUCCUAGAAUCUCUAUCACCUCUUCGUUCUUCAAGCUUUCUCCCUUCUAACCCUUUUGCUCAUUCUCUUGAACUUUCUCUUUCUACCUCUCUCAAAAUUCUUACGAAAUGAAAACCUAUUUUUUUCCUAAACACAAGAGUUUAUAUAGGCUCCUAACAAUUGGGGUUAACCCUUAAUGCCUUAACGAGCUUAACCUGUAACGCCCUAGUCGUUAAUUUAUUUAUUUUGGAUUUAUUUAGAGUCUUUUAUGUGAUUUUAAAUAAUAUUUGUGUUUUAUGUGAUGUGUUAUAUUUUAUUAUAUAGUUUAUUUUAAUAAUAAUUAGAAUAAGUGGAAAAUUAAUAUUAUUUUGGAGUUUGGGGAGUUAAUUAGGAUUUAAUAAGAAUUAAGGGAGUUUAAUGAAAUAUAGGGAAGUUACAUUUUGGGAGUUAAGAAAAGAGAAUAUCAGAAAAACGUUUUUACGUGAAAAUCAACUUUUGGGAGAAAAGGGAGAGAAGAGCAAGUAGAGCCAAGAACCGAUUUUUCUGUGCAUUUCUUUCUGAAAAUCUAAGGUAAGGGUGAGGUUUGCUUCAUUAGUAUAGAUACUGAAUUCUGAAUUUGAUUUUAAAAGGUUUAUGUGUGAAUUGGGAUUUUUGGGGUUUAGGUUGAAUUAUGAGUUUUUGAAUGAAUUGAGUGUAGAGGUUGAUGUUUUGGGGUUAGAAAUGGGUUCUGAGUGUGUGUAGAAUUUUAUUUCAUAUCUGUAAACUGAUUUGGGGAGUGAAUUGGAAGAAAAUGGAAUUUUUGGGAAAAACCUGUAUUCUGCCCGUGCUGACAUUCAUCGUUCGCCCCGCGAGUAGUCUUGUCUCGCCUCGAGAGUGAGCAAUGUUCUUAGCUCACGCCGCGAGUACCCGUGAGUAAAACAUGAUUUUUUGAUUGUUGUUAUAAGGUGUAAAAUGGAUUGUUUUAAGUACCUAGAUGAUUUUAGAGAGGUCUGGGACAAUUUUUAGAUUAAAAAGAUGAAUAGGGAACUUAAAAAGGAAGAUUUAGUGAGAAAAAUGUCAAAACUCCCGAGAGCAGCCUUUUUCUGUUCGUCUUGAGUUCGCCAUAGCGAGCAGAUGUGCUCGCGAGGCGAGUUGCCCAGUAUUUGAGUUGUUGGUUCUGUUUUGAUGAAUGUUGAUUGAUAUUGAUGUCCAAGCAUGACUACUAUAAAUGGUGUAUUUUCUGGGAUGAAUGGAUUACUUAGGUUGAUUUGUUGAUGACUGUAAUGUAUGUUGUAUUAUUUAAAUCAUACAUGUUGUUUGAAUUGCGGUGUUGUGAGUCAUAUGAAAAAAUAUGCAUUGUUAAUUUGUAUGUGGAUAUACACAAGUGGGUUAGUUGCAUAAGCAUAAUAAGCGGGAGGGAUUCUGCCCUGGAAUGCCUUGUCGUUCAAAGUGGUGGAACAUUUGUUGUUCAAAGCGGUGUUUAGCGGUGAGGACUCAUGUCCUGAAAAAAAUGAAUACUUUAACCAUUCUAAUAGCGGUGAGGGCUCCGGCCCUGAAUUUGGUACCACAUGCAUUGUAGAGGAGUCUUAGUGGAGUUGUGGAGUAUUGCAUGAGUCGAUGUUGUUGGUUUUAAUUACCAUUUGUUGUUGAUGCUGAUAAUGAUGAUAUUUAUAUAUGUUGAUGAAUUAUUAUUAUGAUAGAGUGUUAGAUUCAAUUGAUGCAUUCAUUAUCUAUAUUUAUUGUUGUGAAUCUCACCCCUUCUGCUUGAAAAUGUUGCCCUUCCUAUGGGUAACUUGCAGGUGAUCCUGAGUAGUAGGUGGUGGCUCAAAGUGUCUAGGGCUCUGAUACGUGGGAUUUUAUUUUAAUGUUACCUUCAUUCCUAUGUAUCAAUUUUUGAAUAUUUCUGAUGUAGCCCUAUGGUUGUUGAAUUUAUGUUGAUAAGGCUUUGAUCCCAAGAUUUAAUUAUGGAGAUUUAAAAAGUUGCUGUUGUUGUUUUGAUGCAAAUUUUCCGCUGCAAAAUUAAUGAUGAUUUUGAAGGAUGUUUAUUAAAUAGAAUUUAUAUUCUAUUUAAGAAAUUUUGAAAAUGUAGUGUGACAUGCCCGUUUGGAAACUACUCUGAUGCAUGUUUAUUUAUUAAUUAAUUGAUUUUGGGAAACGGGGUGUUACAUAACCCAUUUACUAAACCGUUCACGAAAUGUUUCUACUCACUUAACGGUAAAAUAAUAAUAACGAUCAUUUACCGGCUCACGACUAAUUACUACACUAAUAACUUAGUAAAAUAAUGGUUCUCACUUGAAACACUAAAAGUAACCCUCACCAAGAAAAUUACUAAAAUACCCUUACUCACAAAAUGACCAAAAUACCCUUUUUGCACUAAAACCAAUUAAAAUGCACCCAAUCAUAAAUAAUCACACACAAGCACAUAAAAACACAUAUUAAAAUAAUUAAAAUAAUUCUAGCGAAAAUCGGGCUGUUACAACUUCAUUCUCUUGCUGGUCAUAUUCCAGACUUUGUGCCUAUCUCUUUUUAUGCUUCGCAUGAAUGCACCAAAAGCUUUUCUUUGUGGUAGAACAAAUAUUACCUUUCCAACCUUGUCGACGAAACAUCAUUUCAUGCAAACCUGAUCAGUGAUUUUCCUUCUUUGCAGAGUAAGACGAAGAAAAAUAAAGGUAUGUAUGUUAAAGAAAUUCAAGCUUUCCAUAAAUUUUAUGAAGUUGUGUAUAAUCCAUUAAAUAUCGAAAAAACUGUAAAGGAAGUUACACUAGUUUUAAAACAGAAAUUACUUGAGAAAAUUCCAAAAAUAAAAUUUCGUCCUUAUGUAAAUAAUGCACAUGCCAAAUAUAAAAUGACUUUAGCCUUUAUUGCAUAAGAUUCCCAGCAUUGCCAAGUACGAACUUCACUUUGUCUUUCGAACCAAGUAUCCUCCUUGGUUUCAUUUUGGCUAUAAAUUCAUUCAAAAUGCUUUGAAAUUAGAAAAACAGAGAGUAACUUGGACCAAAUUUGGUUUACAUAAUUACCCAAAAACUUUACAUUAUGGAAUUCACCAGGUUCGUGUCGAACGUCUAGACACUGAUGUACUGGCAGUAGCAGAUGCCUCUUCUAGUCUCUCCAAAAGGGUGGAAGACCCCAAUUCUAGUGUGAAUAAUUCUAGCAACACCCCACUUUCACCUGUGUCCCAAAAGUCAAAAUCAAACAAUUUCAACAAGGGACUAGAAAGUGCCAAUUCUAGCCCAGGAGGUGACAAGGUAAAAAUUUCACCUUUAUCUCAAAAUCAAAAUAUUCUGAAACUUUUAAUUAACUAAACCUAGACUUCGUCUGUACGAUACUUCCUCGACUGCUGGAACGCAUGUUAAUCCGACUCAAAAAUCUUCUCCAAUCGCCCCUUCUUUAAACACUAUUGCGCAAGAAGCUGACAGUCCCGGUCAUAUGAGUGAUUAAACAGGAUGAACAAUGAUUGUUGAUCUCACUAGGAAAGAAGGACUUCGAUAAGAUGAAUAGAUGCGAAAGCAAGCCAUUGCAAAUUUUCCCCCUACUCUUCAAAACUCAAUUUCGGAAAAGUCUAACUCUAGUUCUAGAAAUGCCAAUGGAGGAAGUGAUGGGGAUGAGGACGACAAGAUUCAUCCUAGCAUAGCCAAGAGUGGUACCCCCAACAAUCAAGACUUCCCACAAGGUAGCAUCAAAUCAGCCAGUCAGGGACUACACCAUGACGUUGUAAUAGUCGAACAUGACCAAAGUUUCUGUUGGGUAUUUGUAUUGGCUGCAUUGUUGCUAAAACAAAUAUCCUUGAUGUGUAAGUUGGAACCAAUGUUCCAACAUAUGUUUAGGCAUCUCUGUAAGAUGUUGGAUACGAUGUUCCAACAUCCUGACACAGUUCAGUGUGCCUGAGUUCUUGCCUACUUGUACACGCGCCCUUUAUUGUUUAAUGAAAUAAUAUUUCCUUAUCUUAUUGAUCAAGCAACGCGCAUAUCUAUAAAAAAUCAGUUGUGGAAUAUUUCUAAAGUAGAUUUUAUAUUUUAGGAAAUAUUUGUUAUUGGUUGGAACGAUCCUAUAAAUGUUCCGACAUUUUAGGACUUUCCAUAUUUGUUUCUGAUUCUUGUUUUGUAGAUUAGCUGAACUGAUCUGCUUUGUACUGAAGCCCAACUAAGUAUUUAGCCCAAGCUUCUUCAAUAUAUAAGAAAUACUUCAAGACCUAAUUGAUCAUUUAAGCCGUCAUACUAAAAAGUUUAGAUUUUUAGUGUUUUGAGUCUUUAUGUGCUAUAUUCUUGUAUCGUUUGUGAUGCAAGUCUAUAACCUUUUGUGAGCCUUUCUUAUAUCAUUUGUGAUACUUGUUUAGCACUAUUUGUGUGAGUUUGAUACUCUUAUGCACUACACCGAAGUUGUAAAACAAGGUGUUAGUUGUUUGUGUUUGAAGGUAACUUCUACUUUGAGUCUGUUUAGGUCUGAUAGGUCACAGGGGAUGUGACUAACCAUUAGGAUAGUGAGAUGGGAUCUCAGAUCUAGGAGUUCCUAGGUUGAAGUCUGUACAUGUAGGUCCUAGGUCUUUAGUGUAAACGAGGAGUUUGCUAAGAGCUAUAAAAUAAGGACUACACUAGUGGAUUUCCUUCCUGGCUUGGUAGCCCAUAUAGUAGGUGUGUUUGUCACCGAACUAUUUCAACAAACUCAUUGUGUUCUUUACUUUCUUGUUGUUUAUUUUUUUGUUUUUACUUUUGUUUAUCGCGUGAUGUUAAAACAUUGAACGAAACAUUGCAUACAUACAUAACAUAUUAAAACAAGUGCGUUAGAAUUUCAAUUGGCAUCAGAGCAGGCACCCCUGCCUGUUUUAGGGUGAGCUCCAGGGAAGUUUUAUUCUAGCGCUAUGCACAAGGAAGGUGGAUUUGUAAACAGACCUCCUCUGUUGGAUGGUUUAAACUAUGAUUACUAGAAAUCAUGCAUGAGUGCUUUUCUCAAAUCCAUUGACAACAAAAUGUGGAAGGCAGUUCUGAAAGGCUGGGAACAUCCAGUGGCACUUGAUGAUGAUGGUAACAGGACUGAUUUUUGAAACCAGAAGAAGAAUGGACUGCCUCUGAAGAUGAACUAGCUCUUGGAAACUCCAAAGCAUUGAAUGCUCUAUUCAAUGGGGUAGAUAAGAACAUGUUCAUAUUGAUCAAACAAUGCUGUUACCAUCAGUCCUGUUACCAUCAUCAUCUUCAGUCCUGUUACCAUCAGUCCUGUUACCAUCAUCAUCUUCCACUAAAUUUGAGAAUUUGAAAAUGUUGGAAGAUGAGAGCAUUCAGGACUAUCACUUGAAUAUUCUAGAAAUUGCAAAUUCUUUUGAGUCUCUUGGAGAAAAAGUUGCUGAUGAAAAACUUGUUAGAAAGAUUCUCAGAUCUCUGCCUAAGAGGUAUGACAUGAAAGUAACUGCUAUUGAGGAGGCUCAUGAUAUAUGUAGUUUAAAGGUUGAUGAAUUAAUAGGGUCCCUGCAAAACUUUGAAAUAACUGUCAACAACAAGACUAAUAAGAAAGGGAAGGGUUGAUGAGGUAAAACCGCAAGUAAACUGUUUUUUCUUUUUGUGAGUGUAUCCUAAAUCUUGUGGAAGCAUUAAUAGAAAAGUUUUUAUUUGACACUCUCCGCUGCGAAUCAAACUCUCUUUUUGAAUAAAUAAUAGUGAUAAUUAUUUAUGGGAUUUAGGGUGUCACAGUGAAUGUCAAAUUGGCAAACAGACAAGGAUGUCCCAUCCAAGGUUGGAACAUCAAGCUACCUCUAAAGUCCUUGAACUUUUGCACAUGGAUCUGAUGGUGCCUAUGCAGGUUGAGAGCAUUGGUGAAAAAAGGUAUGUUCUUGUUGUUGUUGAUGACUUCAAAAGAUUCACUUGGGUGAACUUUAUUAGAGAAAAGUCAGAUACUGUCAAUGUGUUUAAAGAUUUGUGCACACAACUGCAAAGAGAAAAGAACUGUGGCAUUGUGAGAAUUAGGAGUGAUCAUGGAACUGAAUUUGAGAAUGCUAGAUUUGAUGAAUAUUGCACAGGUGAAGGAAUCAAACAUGAAUUUUUUUUCUCCUAUAACACCUCAGAAAAAUGGUGUUGUGGAAAGAAAGAACAGAACUCUUCAAGAAUCUGCCAGGGUCAUGCUUCAUGCUAAACACCUUCUUUAUCGUUUUUAGGCUGAAGCUAUGAACACAGAAUGUCAUAUUCACAACAGGGUAACCUUAAGAUUAGGAACCACGACAACUAUCUAUGAGUUAUGGAAGGGAAGAAAACCUGCAGUCAAAUAUUUCCAUGUGUUUGGUAGCAGGUGCUACAUUUUGUCUGAUAGAGAUUACAGAAGAAAAAUGGAUCCUAAGAGUGAUGAAUGAAUUUUUCUUGGAUACUCCACAAACAGUAGAGCUUAUAAGGUCUAUAAUUCUAAAAUUGAAACUAUGAUGGAAUCUAUUAAUGUUGUGAUUGAUGAUGUACCCAAAGAAAAGGUUCCUGAUGCUGAAGCUGAUGUUAGAACAUCUGUUCAGGAAACAAAUGCACCUAUCCAGGUGAAUGAAUCUGAACCUGACAAGGAAGAAACUGAAGAAAAUGAGCAAGAUCAGAUGUCCACCACUAAAGGUCCUUCUAUAAGAGUUCAGAAGAAUCAUCCUCAAGACCUAAUCAUUGGGAAUCCUGACCAAGGAAUAACAACCAGAAGAUUUGUUGGAGUCAUUACCAACUCUUGUUUUGUGUCCAAGAUAGAACCAAAGAAUGUCAAAGAAGCCCUGACUUAUGAGUUCUGGAUUGAAGCAAUGCAAGAAGAACUGAAUCAAUUCAAAAGAAGUGAAGUGUGGGACUUAGUUCCAAUACCUAAGGGUAUAAAUGUGAUAGGUACCAAGUGGAUCUAUAAGAACAAAUCUGAUGAAAAUGGUACUGUAACCAGAAACAAGGCAAGAUUAGUAGCUUAAGGCUACACGCAGAUAGAAGGUAUGGAUUUUGAUGAGACUUUUGCUUCCGUUUCUAGAUUGGAAUCUAUAAGACUGCUGCUAGGUGUAUCAUGUAUACUCAAGUUUAAGAUGUUCCAAAUAGAUGUAAAGAGUGCCUUUCCGAAUGGGUACUUGAAUGAAGAAGUUUAUGUUGAGCAACCUAAAGGUUUUAUUGAUCCUAGCUUUCCCAAUCAUGUGUAAAGAUUGAAGAAAGCUUUGUAUGGCUUAAAGCAGGCACCUAGGGCUAUGUAAAAGAUGACAAUGGAAGACUGAUGAUUUCCCAAAUAUAUGUUGAUGACAUUGUUUUUAGUGGAAUGUCGAACAAGAUGGUUCAACAUUUCAUUCAGGAAAUUCAGUCUGAGUUUGAAAUGAGCUUAGUUGGUGAGUUAACCUAAUUUCUUGGGCUUCAGGUUAAACAAAUAGAGGAUACUAUCUUCAUUUCUUAGAGUAAAUAUGCCAAGAACAUUGUGAAGAAAUUUGGGUUGGAUAAUGGUGGUCACAAGAGAACUCCAGCUGCCACUCACAUGAAGCUAACAAAGGAUGAAAGUGGUAUAUUUGUUUAUCAAAGCAUGUACAGAAGCAUGAUUGGGAGUUUACUAUAUCUUACUGCAAGCAGGCCAGGUAUAAAGUUUGUUGUAGGUGUUUGUGCAAGGUAUCAAGCUGAACCAAAGAUGAGUCAUCUUACUCAAGUGAAGAGGAUACUGAAAUACAUCAAUAGCACCAGUGAUUAUGAGAUCUUAUACUCAUACAGUGAAGACUCUAAGCUGAUGGGUUACUGUGAUCUUGACUGGGAAGGAAGUGCUGAUGACAGAAAAAGUACCUCUAGAGGAUGUUUCUUUCUAGGAAAUAAUCUGAUAUCCUGGUUUAGUAUGAAAUAGAACUGUGUGUCUCUAUCUACUGCUAAAGCCGAAUACAUAACAACUGGGAGUAGUUGUUCUCAACUUGUUUGGAUGAAGCAGAUGCUAAAGGAGUAUAAUGUUGAACAAAAUGUUCUAACCUUAAACUGUUACAACCUAAGUGCUAUCAACAUUUUCAAGAAUCCUAUUCAACAUAGCACAACAAAGCACAUUGAUAUUCGACAUCAUUUCAUCAGAGAUCUUGUUAAAGAAAAGGUUGUGACACUUUAGCAUGUUGACAUAGAGGAGCAACUGACAGACAUUUUCACCAAGGCCUUAGAUUCUAAACAAUUUUAAAAACUAAGGGGCAAGUUGGGAAUUCGUCUGCAUGAGGAGGCUUGAUUAUUUGUGUUGUCAGACGUGCUAUCAAAUCUCUUUUUGCAUGUCUUUGAUUUGUUGGGUAUACUGCACUGAAAUACUCGUGUUGCUUGUGUGGCUAAAAAGGGGGAGAAAAAUGAUAUAUCUAUACUCUCUAUUAUGCGCCUGUUUGUCUGCAUUUGUUUUGCAGCUUUAUGUAUACUUGCAUGUAUUCCUGUUGUUGCAUUUACUUUGCAACUAUUUUCAGGAUGUGUAGAUGUUGUUACUAAUGUUGCAGCAUCUCUAUGUUGUCUGAGAAUUUAUUCUUCUCAGCUUUUAUUUUGUACAUGUUCCUUGCUGACGUUCUCUGGAAUGUUGGAGCAGGUCUGUGAAGACUAAUGUAAAUGUUAGCACUGGUGCUACAACAUCUCCGUGUUGUUCAGAGAAUUUAUUUUUCUUAGAAUUUCAAGUGUACAUGUUCCCUCCUACUGCUUCAAUAUAUUGGAACAUGUCUAAUAUGUGUGACCAUUGAUAGGUCUGCUAGUUAGUGAAUAUUCAUUGAAAUAUUUUAUGCCUAGAUCCUGAAUUUAUUUUUCUAUGCAUUAGGAGUUUUUGAGUGUUCAGUGUAACAUCUCAGACUGCUUUCAAGAUUGCCGACUGACCCCACAAACCAACACGAGUCUUUUCAGCGUGUUUUGUCCUCACUCGCACGCUUACCGGGAAACUUCCCGGUAGGUCACCCAUCCCAAAAUUUCUCCAAGUCAAGCACGCUUAACUGUGGAGUUCUUAUGGAAUGAGCUACCGAAAAGAAGAUGCAUCUUGUUGAUAUAGGUAGUAACAAACAAUUCUUAUAAGCCUUCCUUCAACCAUGCAGUCUCAUACCUGCACGGCCUCAGGAACCGUCUCAUUCCGGUGUGAUUCGGUUCCUCUAGAAGCUGUCAGGAGCCGCUCAUUGUCGUGCCUUGUGCACCGGCGACCACUCCCCGUCCUCGUCAGCCUUGGGUGUUACAUAGUUGUAACGCCCUCUUUGAAUUAUUUAAUUAUUUGAUUAUUUUAAGGAGUUCAGAAUAUACUUAUAUGAUUUGUGUGAUUUAUAUGAUUUAUUUUGAUGAGUAAUAUUUUGUUAUGUUAUAUGUUGGUAUUUAUUAGUAUAAUAUAUAUGUUAUUUGGUUUAGAAAUAUAUAUAUUAUUUGUUGUAGAAAUAUAUGUUAUAGAAAUAUAUAUGAUUUGUUGUAGAAAUAUAUGUUAUUUAGUGUAGAAAUAUAUAUAUGUUAUAGAAAUAUAUUUGUUAUUCGUUAUAGAAAUAUUUUAUAUAUAUAUAUAUAUAUAUAUAUAUAUAUUAGAAUAGAAUAUUGAGAUUUUGGGGAGAUUUGGAUAUAAGAGAAAAAUAAGUAGGUUAAGGAUUCUUAUAAAAGGGGAGAGUUAGAAUUAGAAAAGAAGGAUUUCGUGCAAACUGCUUUUGGGAGAAAAAGGGAAAAAGUGAGAAGUCAGAGAAAAACAAGAGAAGAGAAGAACCAAGAGGAAAGGCUGUCGAUCGGUAAUCUUAAGGUAAAGGUGAGACUAACUUUGCAAUUCUAUUAAGUAUGUGAAUCAACGGUUACAUUUAACAUGGAUUAGGAUGAGUUUAAGAGGAAUCGGAAAUUAGGUCAAAUUGAGAGAAUUGAUGAUUAAACGGUGAAAACUUGUUAAAAAGAUGUAGAAACUGUCCUUAGACCUUAGAUAAUGAUUAUGAUGAAUUCUGGAAUCGAGAUUAGUCUUAAAACCAUGAGAGUUGAUGAUUUUUAGGUGAAAACUGCAUUCUGCCCGUAGCGACAUUCAUCGCUUGCCUCUCGGGCUAUGAUCCUCGCCACGACGAGUGAUGAACUUCAUCGCUCGCCACGCGAGUAAUCUUUCCCCGCCUCGCGAGUUGCACGUUGCAACUCGCCAUGGCGAACACUUGAACUCGCCUAGCGAGCUAGACCAGAGAGCAUGCAAGAUUUUGUAAUUUUGACCUUUGAGUUGAUCCUUAGAUGCUUUUGAGUGCCUGAACAUGUCUAAUAAUGAUUAGGUAAGAAUGUAGGAUGAGAUUGAACCUGGAAUGAAACUUGUGAGGUUUUGACCUGAACUCGCCACGGCGAGCAGAGGCUCUUGCCUCGCGAGUGACCCAGAAACAGAGUGACUUGUUAGAUUUUGCGACCUUUGUUGCACGAGUUGUUGAGGAUUAAACCUUUGGGUAGCAUUAAGACUUAAUGAAGAGGUUAACCAUAAUCUAUGAAGCUGUUUAAAGAUGUGUUGUUAUUUGAAUUAUUUGAUAUAUUUAUGUCAUGCUGAUUUUGUGUACUGCCUAUGUUGCUGUUGUUAUUUAACUAAGCUGCAUGAGUCGGUCUAAGUUGUUGAAGAUGAUGAUGUUCCAAAUUAUUGGACUAAUAUAAGAGGUUGUCGAAUUAAGUUGUUUAAGAGGUCGAGUCCAUGCAUUAGCAUUCAUUGUUGGGGGCUUGAUGCCCUGGAGCUUUGUACUCACCACGUUGGAGCAUUAGCUCAAAUUAGCGAUUGGGGCUUGAUGCCCUGGAAGUAUAUUAAUACUUAAAUAGCGUAUUGGUACCACAUGCAUAUAAGAGGUCUAAGUUGCAUAGUCGUAUUGUCGAGUCAAAGUUGUUAAGUUGUCAAGAUGUUAAAUUAUGAUUUGAUGUAUAUGAGCUGUUAAUGAUGUGAUAUAUGACAUAUUAUUAUCUAUGAUGAAUAUUAUGAUGAUUUUAGGUUGUUAAAUAUAAUUGCUGAAUUAUAUGCUUAAUAUUAUUGUUUUGUGAAAUCUCACCCCUUCUGCUUGGAAAUGUUGCUCUUCCUAUGAGUAACUUGUAGGUGAUUGUUAUUAGGUUGUUGUUGUUGCUGUCGUGAGUGACUUAUUCCUCACUGAGUCUUAGGAUGCUCUGAUACGUAAUGGGAUGGGAUCUUUUGUGGCUAUUUUCUAUUCCUUUACGUAUUGCUUUUGCUUUAAUAAGGCAUGCGUGCCAAGAAUUUAUCUAUGUUAAUGAAUUUAAUCCGCUGCAAAGUUUGAAUUAAUAUGUUGAUGAUUUUUGGAAAGAUAAUUAGUUAAUUAUCUCAUUUAUUAUAUUUUAGAAGUGUAGCAUUCCGUUAUAUGUUAUUUACUCUGAUAAAUGUUUAUGAAAUUUUUAAGUUGGGAAAACGGGGUGUUACAUUCAGAAUAUCUAUAUGAAUGUAUUCAGGGGGAGUAAUGGAAUAUUCAUGUAAGUAGUCACUCAUAGGUUCAUAUAUUCAGGGGGAGUGAUACUUCUAUGUGUGCUUGUGCUAAGUCCAAGCUGGUUGACAGGAUUCAGUCAGAUGUUUAAACAUCCAUGUCUGUCACUUGCAAGUAUGGGAAUUUACUUUUCCCAUGCUUCUUUUUGUGGUUAGUGAAAGUACUCUAAAGACAUCCAUGCAUGUCACUUGUAAGUGUGGGAAUUUCUUUUUCCCGCUUCUAUUUGUGCUUUGUGACAAUGCUUUGUAAGUAUGAGAAAUUUAUAUUUUUCCUUGCUUCUUGUAUGAUAGGUGAUCCUGUCUGAUGUAACACCCCGUUAUCCCAAAGCAAUUAAUUAAUAAAUAAUCAUCAGAGAAUAUCCCAAACGGGCAUGUCACACUACUUUUCAAAAUUUUCUUAAAUAGAAUAUAAAACUAUUUAAUAAAUAUCCUUCAUAAACAACAAUAAUUUGCAGCGGAAAUAUUUCUCAACAUUUAACUUCAACAUCAACAUUAAAUCCUGGCACAAAGGCCUCAACAUAAAAUCAUCAACAUUGUUCAAUUAACAAUAAAAGGCUACAUCAGCAAGUUCCAAAAAUUGAUACAUAGGAAUGAAAAAUAAAGUAAUUCCCAUCCCGUACGUAUCAGAGCCCUAGACAUUGAGCCACCACCUACUACUCAGGAUCACCUGCAAGUUACCCAUAGAAAGGGCAACAUUUUCAAGCAGAAGGGGUGAGAUUCACAACAAUAAAUAUAGAUAUAAAAUUCAUCAAUUGAAUCUAACACCCUAACAUAAUCAUGGUUAUUCAAUAUAAAUAUAUAUUUCAUAAUUAAUACAUCAACAACAAUGGUAUUUACAACCAACAACAAUGACUCAUGCAACUACUGGACAACACCGCUAAGACUCCUCGACAAUGCAACAAUGCAUGUGGUACCAAUUUACAGGGCAGAAGCCCUCACCGGAUAUUGAAUUGUUAAAACAUUCAUCAAGGCAUAAGCCCUCACCGCUUUGAACAAUUAAAGUGUUCCAGGACAUGAGUCCUCCUGCUUUGAACGACAGGGCGUUCCAGGGCAAGAGCCCUCCUGCUUUAUAUGCUUAUGCAACUGACUCCACUUGUGUAUAUCUACAUACAACUUAACAAUGCAUAUAUGUAUAUAUGACUCACAACUCCAUAUUAAACAACAUGUAUGAUUUAUUUAAAUAUAACAUACAUCACAGUCAUCCACAGAUCAUUAUAAUCAAUCCAACAAUUCAGAAAAAUGCACAAUUAAUCAUAAUCAUACUCAUACAUCAAGCUCAAUCAACAUUAUUCAUUUAAGGAACAAACAGCUCUGAUACUAGGCAACUCGCCUCGCGAGUACAUCUACUUGCUAUGGCGAACUCAAGGAAUGGGUUGCUCGCCAUGGUGAACUCAAGGCGAAUGAGAAAAAGGGUGCUCUCCGGAGUUUUGACAUUUUUCUCACUAAAUCUUCACUUUUAAGCUCCCUAUUCAUCUUUUUAAUCUAAAAAUUGUUCCAGUCCUCUCUAAAAGCAUUUAGGCACUCAAAACUAACCAAAAUACAGCUUAUAACAACAAUUCAAAAAUCAUGAUCUCUCAGGCACUUGCUCGCCAUGGCGAGUGGUUCUGCUCGCGAGGCGAGCCAUGAAGUUGUUCACUCGCGACGCGGGACUAGCUACUCGCUGGGGCGAGCGAUGAAUAUCAGAACGGGCAGAAUGCAGGUUUUUCUCAAAAAUUCCAAUUUCCUCAAUUUCACUCCCCAAAUUAGUUUACAGAUGCAAGACUAAGUGUUGUAUGCAAGCAGAACCUAAUUCUAACAUCAGAACAACAAUCUCUACACUCAAUUCACUCAAAAACCCAUAAUCUAACAUAAAUCCCAAAAUUUCCAAUUCUAUCAUAAACCUGUUUAAUCCAAAAUCAGAAUUCAAUAACUAUACUACUGAAGCAAACCUCACCCUUACCUUAAUUCAGAAGGACAAAUUCUACAGAAUUCUUGUUCUCUUGGCUCUUCUCCCUUGUUCUUGGUUUUCUCUCCCAAAACUUGUUUUACAUAAAACUGCUUCUGACUUCUCUUUUCCUAACUCCCCAAAAUAUAACUCCCCUUUAUUUCAUUUACUCCCCCUUAAUUCUAUUAAUUCCUAAUUAACUCCCCAACCUCCAAAAUAUUAAUAAUUCUCACAUUAUUCUAUUUAAUAUUAAUAUAAACUAUAUAAUAAAAUAAUACACACCACAUAAUCAACAAAUAUUAUUUAAAACCAUAUAAAAGACUCUAAAUAAAUCAAAAAUAAAUAAAACAACGACUAGGGCGUUUCAUCUCAUGUGGUAUAGGUUGUGGAACAUCCUAUUUUGUAGGUUUGAAGAUUCAUUUUUUCUUGCCUUUAUGUGUGGCAGAUACUCCUGUCUGUGGGAGGUUACCUUCCCUUGGUGUAGUAUAGGAUUCUUCCUCUGCUCUAUGUUGUGAAGGAUGUUGAAACAUCCAUUGUGUGGAGAAGUUAUUUUUCCACUCUAUAGCAUAUGAAUUUGUUUUUCCACUACUCUUGUGAGACUAUGCAUAUUUCUUAUCUGUUGCUGCAUGUCUCUGAUAAAGUGUAAUAUCUCUGCAACUGAAGCUUUGAUUGAAGAUCCUUGAGGUAUUCUAUGUAUGCACACGUCUGAUAUGUCUAUAGUGAUACUGUAACGCCCUAGUCGUUAUUUUAUUAUUUUUAGAAUUAGUUAGAAUCUUUUGUGUGUUUUUAAUUAAUAUAUGUGAUAUUUGUGGUGUGUAGUAUUUAUUUAUAUAAUUUAUUUAAUAUAAAUAGAAUAAUAUGAAUAAUGGAAUUAUUUAGGAGGUUGGGGAGUAAUUAGAAAUUAAUAGUAAUAAGGGAGGUUUUAAUGAAAAAGGAGAAGUUAUGGUUUUGGUGAGUUAAGAAAGAAAGUCAGAAAAACAGUUUAACGUAAAAACAAGUUGGAGAGGAGAAAAGCUAAGGCAAGGAGAGAAGACCAAGAGAGAAGAACUUAGGAACUGAUUUGCUGUGCUUUUUGUCUUUGCAAUUCUAAGGUAAGGGUGGGAUUAUCUUUCAAUAGUCAUAAUAUAUAAUUUCUGAAAAUUAAUCAAUUGAACUGUUCUUAAGGUAAAAUUGGGAAAUUUAGGGUUAAGGAUGAUUUUGAAAGAAAAGGUAUAAGGAUCAGGUUUAUAUUGUUGUACUUUGAUGUUUAGUAUGAUUUCUUAAUCUAUGUUGUUGAUGCUGAUCGUAAUUGGAAUGAAAAUAGAAUAUGAUGAAUGAAUUUUGGAAGCCUUGCAUGAAUGCUUGAAUGAAUAGAAUUGAUGUUGUUGAUGUUUAGUUUUUCCGUUCCUUGAUGUCUGGUUGUGUAUAGGACUCGUAAACAUUUCAGGAAAACGUUUUGGGUGAUCAGGGGAUUAAAAUUGGGUUUUUGGAGUGAGGAGAAGUCUGAAAAUCGUAGCUUUUACCCUGCCCAGAUGAUUGGUCGCUUAAGCGAAGCAUCCGUCGCUUAAGCGAACAUUCACGUGAACUACCCAGAAUGUGAUUUUACCCGUUCGCUUAAGCGAACAGUGAGCGAACUGGUAAGCGAAAAUUAAGUUUGAUUCUGCCAAGAAUUCGCUUAAGCGAGCCGUGAGCGACCCAUAAGCGAACUGAACCCAGACCUACUGUAAGCUGGUCGCUUAAGCGAACUAGCCGUCGCUUAAGCGAACUGAGUGUUAGACAGCCUUUUCUGAAUCUUGCUUCGUACACUAGGGGACCCUUUUGAGUACUUCUAGGUGUUUCUCUUAGCUUGUGUAACUUUGUAUAGACAUGAAAUCCUACUUAAAAUUCACGACGUUAAUUAGUUGGUUAUUUUUAUGAAUUUGAAGAUGUUGAGGUACUUGAAUCAAGUGAAUGUACAUGUUGCAUGAAAAAGGUGGUGAGUCAUAUAAGUACAUAUGCAUUUGUCGUUGAGUUGUAUGCAGAUAUACACAAGUGGAGUCAGUUGCAUAAGCAUAAAAACGAUGAGGACUUCGGUUCUGGAACGCUUUGUCGUUCAAAACGAUGGAACACUAUGUUGUUCAAAACGAUGUUAACGAUGAGGACUCAUGUCCUGAUAAAAGAAUGCUUUAACCAUUCUAUAACGAUGAGGGCUUCGGCUCUGUUAUGGUACCACAUGCAUAGUUGCAUUUGUUGAGGAGUCUUAGUGGAGUUGUCAUGUCCUGCAUGAGUCUUAGAGGUGAAGUCGGGUUGUUGCAUGAGUCGUUUGUUUACUGUUUUUAUUACUGUUGGAUGUUGAAGUUGCUAAUGAUGCUAUACUAUAAUUGAUGAAUGAUUAAGAUGAUAGGGUGUUAGAUUCAUUUGUGUUAUUAUAUAUUAUUAUUAUUGUUUGAGAAUCUCACCCCUUCUGCUUGAAAAUGUUGCCCUUCCUAUGGGUAACUUGCAGGUGAUCCUGAGUAGUAGGUGGUGGCUCACAGUGUCUAGGGCUCUGAUACGUGGGAUGGGAUUUUAUUGCUUGAAUUCUUUCCUAUGUAUCAAUUUUGAAAUAUUGCUGAUGUAGCCCUUUGGUGAUUGAAUUUUAUGUUGAAAUGGCUCUUAUGCCAAGAAUAUUUAUUGGAGACUUAUUGAUGUUGCAAAUAAAUCCGCUGCGAGUUUAAUGACAAUUUAUGAAUGACGUUUGAUUAAAUAGAUUUUUAUAUACACUCUAUUUAGAAGAUUUUAAAUGAAGAAAUGUGGCAUGCCCGUUGUGAUUACUCUGAUUAUUGAUGUAUUAUUAUUAUUUUAAUUGAUUUUGGGAAACGGGGUGUUACAGUUGGUAUCAGAGCAGGUUGGUCCGUCCGACCGUGUAGUAGAGUCGUGUUGAGCCACCUAGGAUAGAGUGUUAACUCUAAAGUUGUCUUUGUUGUUUUCUGAUUGCUAUUUCUUAUGUAGAACCUUGAGAUGGCCGGUCGUAACGAUGCUGCUAUCGCUGCUGCACUUGAGGCUGUUGCUCAAGCUGUAGGACAGCAACCAGCUGCUGCUAACGGUGAAGUGAGAAUGCUGGAGACUUUCCUGAGAAACCAUCCACCAGCAUUCAAGGGAAGGUAUGACCCCGAUGGAGCCCAGACAUGGCUGAAGGAAGUAGAGAGGAUCUUCAGAGUCAUGCAGUGCUCUGAGGUGCAAAAAGUGCGGUUCGGGACACACAUGCUGGCUGAGGAGGCAGAUGAUUGGUGGGUAGGCCUUUUACCUAUGUUGGAACAAGACGGAGCGGUGGUGACAUGGACUGUAUUCAGGAGGGAAUUCCUGAAUAGAUACUUUCCGGAAGAUGUCCGAGGGAAGAAAGAAAUAGAAUUUCUGGAGUUGAAGCAGGGUGACAUGUCUGUCACAGAGUAUGCUGCCAAGUUCACGGAACUUGCAAAGUUUUAUCCUCACUACACUGCGGAGACAGCUGAGUUCUCCAAAUGUAUUAAAUUUGAAAAUGGUUUGAGAGCUGACAUCAAGAGAGCCAUUGGAUAUCAGAAGAUCAGAAUUUUCUCAGAAUUGGUGAGUAGCUGUAGAAUUUAUGAGGAGGAUACAAAGGCUCAUUAUAAGGUGAUGAGCGAGAAAAGGAAUAAGGGUCAGAGUAGUCGCCCGAAGCCCUACAGUGCUCCUACUAACAAAGGCAAACAAAGAUUGAAUGAUGAGAGGCAGCCUAAGGGGAGAAAUGCUCCUGUUGAUGUUGUUUGUUACAAAUGUGGUGUGAAGGGCCACAAGAGUAAUGCUUGCACCCAAGAUGAGAAGAAAUGUUUCAGAUGCGGUCAGAAGGGUCAUAUGUUGGCUGAAUGCAAGCGUGGAGAUAUCGUUUGUUUUAAUUGUGGCGAUGAGGGCCACAUUAGCUCGCAGUGCACGCAACCUAAGAAGGUCAGAACUUGAGGGAAGGUUUUCGCUUUGACUGGUACCCAGACUACCAACGAGGAUCGACUUAUCAGAGGUACUUGUUUCUUUAAUAGUACUCCUUUAAUUGCUAUUAUAGACACUGGUGCUACGCAUUGUUUCAUUGCUUUAGAAUGUGCAUAUAAGUUGGGCCUAAUUGUAUCUGAUAUGAAAGGGGAAAUGGUUGUUGAAACUCCAGCCAAGGGUUCAGUAACUACUUCUCUUGUGUGUUUAAGGUGUCCGUUGUCUAUGUUUGGUAGAGAUUUUGAGGUCGACUUAGUGUGUCUACCGUUGUUGGGAAUGGAUGUUAUUUUCGGGAUGAAUUGGUUAGAGUAUAACCGAGUCUGUAUAAAUUGUUUUAACAAGACGGUGCACUUUUCUUCUGCGGAAGAGGAGAGUGGAGCAGAGUUUCUAACUACUAAACAGUUGAAGCAGUUGGAACGAGAUGGAAUUCUUAUGUUUUCUUUGAUGGCAUCUUUGUCGUUAGAGAAUCAAGCUGUAAUUGACAGGCUACCAGUGGUGAAUGAAUUCCCUGAAGUUUUUCCAGAUGAGAUUCCUGAUGUGCCACCAGAAAGAGAAGUUGAGUUCUCGAUUGAUCUUGUUCCGGGAACGAAACCAGUGUCGAUGGCACCGUAUCGCAUGUCAGCUUCUGAAUUAGCCGAGUUGAAGAAACAGUUGGAGGACUUGCUUGAUAAGAAGUUUGUGAGACCCAGUGUUUCGCCGUGGGGAGCACCCGUGUUAUUGGUGAAGAAGAAAGAUGGAAGUAUGAGGUUGUGCAUUGACUAUCGUCAGUUGAACAAAGUUACAAUAAAGAAUAGAUAUCCACUUCCGCGGAUUGAUGACUUGAUGGACCAGUUGGUAGGUGCUAAAGUUUUUAGUAAGAUUGACUUGAGGUCGGGUUACCAUCAGAUUAAAGUGAAGGAUGAAGAUAUGCAGAAGACGGCUUUUAGGACACGAUAUGGUCAUUACGAAUACAAAGUGAUGCCUUUCGGUGUUACUAACGCGCCUGGUGUGUUCAUGGAGUAUAUGAACCGAAUUUUCCAUGCUUUUCUGGAUAAAUUUGUGGUGGUAUUUAUAGAUGAUAUUUUGAUUUAUUCUAAAACUGAAGAGGAGCAUGCAGAACACUUGAAGAUUGUGUUGCAGAUUUUGAAGGAGAGAAAGUUGUAUGCCAAGUUGUCGAAGUGCGAGUUCUGGUUAAGUGAAGUGAGUUUUCUAGGCCAUGUUAUUUCUGGUGAUGGUAUCGCGGUUGAUCCUUCGAAAGUUGAUGCAGUAUCUCAGUGGGAAACUCCGAAGUCGGUGACUGAAAUCAGAAGUUUCUUGGGUUUGGCUGGUUAUUACCGUAGAUUCAUAGAAGGAUUUUCAAAGUUGGCACUUCCGUUGACUCAGUUGACUUGUAAAGGGAAAUCUUUUGUAUGGGAUGCUCAGUGUGAGAGUAGUUUCAAUGAGUUGAAGCAAAGAUUGACAACUGCUCCUAUUUUAAUUUUGCCAAAGCCGGAAGAACCUUUUGUAGUUUAUUGUGAUGCUUCCAAGUUUAGUUUAGGAGGUGUGUUGAUACAAGAUGGAAAGGUGGUAGCUUAUGCUUCUAGGCAGCUGAGGGCUCAUGAAAAGAACUAUCCUACGCAUGAUUUGGAGCUGGCUGCGGUGGUGUUUGUUUUGAAGAUUUGGAGACACUAUUUGUAUGGUUCAAGAUUUGAAGUGUUUAGUGACCACAAAAGUUUGAAGUAUCUGUUUGACCAAAAAGAAUUGAACAUGAGGCAGAGGAGAUGGCUUGAGUUAUUAAAUGAUUAUGAUUUUGGCUUGAAUUACCAUCCGGGUAAAGUUAAUGUAGUUGCAGAUGCGUUGAGUAGGAAGACGUUGCACAUGUCGGCCUUAAUGGUAAAGGAGUUUUAAUUGCUCGAACAGUUUAGGGAUUUAAGUCUCGUGUGUGAAUUGUCAUCUCAAAGUGUGCAGUUGGGUAUGCUGAAGAUCAAUAGUGAUUUCUUGGAUAGUAUCAGAGAAGCGCAACAAGUUGAUGUUAAGUUUGUGGAUUUGAUGGUCGCUAGUAAUCUAGCGGAGAAUAGUGAUUUCAAGGUUGAUGAGCAAGGUGUGUUGAGAUUAAGAGGCAGAAUUUGUAUUCCUGACAAUGAGGAAUUGAAGAAGUUGAUUUUAGAAGAAAGUCAUAAGAGCAACUUGAGUAUUCAUCCGGGAGCUACAAAAAUGUAUCAUGACUUGAAGAAAUUGUUUUGGUGGUCUGGUUUUAAAGAAGGAUGUCGCUCGGUUUGUGUAUGCGUGUUUCACUUGUUAGAAGUCUAAGGUUGAACAUCAGAGGCCUGCAGGUUUGUUGACACCGUUGGAGGUACCAGAGUGGAAAUGGGAUAUCAUUUCUAUGGAUUUUGUGACAAGUUUACCUAAUACUCCGAGAGGGCAUGAUUCGAUAUGGGUUGUGGUAGACAGGUUGACGAAGUCGGCGCACUUCAUUCUGAUUAAUAUCAGUUAUCCAGUAGCUCAGUUGGCGGAGAUCUACAUUUAGAAUAUUGUUAAGUUGCAUGGUGUUCCGUCAAGUAUAGUGUCAGAUAGAGACCCAAGGUUUACUUCAAGAUUUUGGAAGAGUUUACAAGAUGCGUUGGGUUCGAAAUUGAAAUUGAGUUCGGCUUAUCAUCCGCAGACAUAUGGUCAGUCGGAAAGGACGAUCCAAUCAUUAGAGGAUUUACUAAGAAUAUGUGUACUUGAGCAGGGUGGAGCUUGGGACAGUCACCUACCAUUGAUAGAAUUUACAUACAACAACAGUUACCAUUCGAGUGUUGGUAUGGCACCGUUUGAAGCUUUGUAUGGUCGGAGGUGCAGGACUCCUUUAUGCUGGUUCGAGUCGGGAGAAAGUGUUGUGUUGGGGCUGGAAUUGGUUCAUGAAACUACGGAGAAAGUCAAGAUGAUUAGGGAGAAGAUGAAAGUGUCGCAGAGUCGACAAAAGAGCUAUCACGACAAGCGUAGGAAGGACCUUGCGUUUCAGGAAGGUGACCAUGUUUUUCUGAGGGUUACUCCUAUGACGGGUGUGGGACGUGCAUUGAAGUCGAGGAAGUUGACUCCAAAGUUCAUUGGUCCUUACCAGAUUUCAGAAAGAGUUGGAACUGUGGCGUAUAGAGUUGGUUUGCCACCUCAUCUUUCGAAUUUGCAUGACGUAUUUCAUGUGUCGCAAUUGCGGAAGUAUGUACCAGAUCCUUCGCAUGUUAUUCCAAGAGAUGAUGUGCAAGUUAGAGAUAACCUGACGGUGGAGACCUUACCUUUGAGGAUUGAUGAUCGAAAGGUGAAGUCUUUGAGGGGUAAAGAGAUACCUCUUGUAAGAGUUGUUUGGGGUGGAGCAACUGGUGAAAGUUUGACUUGGGAAUUGGAAAGUAAGAUGCAAGAAUCAUAUCCUGAGUUGUUUGUUUGAGGUAAGAUUUCGAGGACGAAAUUCUCUAAGUUGGGGAGAGUUGUAACGCCCUAGUCGUUAUUUUAUUAUUUUUAGAAUUAGUUAGAGUCUUUUGUGUGUUUUUAAUUAAUAUAUGUGAUAUUUGUGGUGUGUAGUAUUUAUUUAUAUAAUUUAUUUAAUAUAAAUAGAAUAAUAUGAAUAAUGGAAUUAUUUAGGAGGUUGGGGAGUAAUUAGAAAUUAAUAGUAAUAAGGGAGGUUUUAAUGAAAAAGGAGAAGUUAUGGUUUUGGUGAGUUAAGAAAGAAAGUCAGAAAAACAGUUUAACGUAAAAACAAGUUGGAGAGGAGAAAAGCUAAGGCAAGGAGAGAAGACCAAGAGAGAAGAACUUAGGAACUGAUUUGCUGUGCUUUUUGUCUUUGCAAUUCUAAGGUAAGGGUGGGAUUAUCUUUCAAUAGUCAUAAUAUAUAAUUUCUGAAAAUUAAUCAAUUGAACUGUUCUUAAGGUAAAAUUGGGAAAUUUAGGGUUAAGGAUGAUUUUGAAAGAAAAGGUAUAAGGAUCAGGUUUAUAUUGUUGUACUUUGAUGUUUAGUAUGUUUUCUUAAUCUAUGUUGUUGAUGCUGAUCGUAAUUGGAAUGAAAAUAGAAUAUGAUGAAUGAAUUUUGGAAGCCUUGCAUGAAUGCUUGAAUGAAUAGAAUUGAUGUUGUUGAUGUUUAGUUUUUCCGUUCCUUGAUGUCUGGUUGUGUAUAGGACUCGUAAACAUUUCAGGAAAACGUUUUGGGUGAUCAGGGGAUUAAAAUUGGGUUUUUGGAGUGAGGAGAAGUCUGAAAAUCGUAGCUUUUACCCUGCCCAGAUGAUUGGUCGCUUAAGCGAAGCAUCCGUCGCUUAAGCGAACAUUCACGUGAACUACCCAGAAUGUGAUUUUACCCGUUCGCUUAAGCGAACAGUGAGCGAACUGGUAAGCGAAAAUUAAGUUUGAUUCUGCCAAGAAUUCGCUUAAGCGAGCCGUGAGCGACCCGUAAGCGAACUGAACCCAGACCUACUGUAAGCUGGUCGCUUAAGCGAACUAGCCGUCGCUUAAGCGAACUGAGUGUUAGACAGCCUUUUCUGAAUCUUGCUUCGUACACUAGAGGACCCUUUUGAGUACUUCUAGGUGUUUCUCUUAGCUUGUGUAACUUUGUAUAGACAUGAAAUCCUACUUAAAACUCACGAUGUUAAUUAGUUGGUUAUUUUAUGAAUUUGAAGAUGUUGAUGUACUUGAAUCAAGUGAAUGUACAUGUUGCAUGAAAAAGGUGGUGAGUCAUAUAAGUACAUAUGCAUUUGUCGUUGAGUUGUAUGCAGAUAUACACAAGUGGAGUCAGUUGCAUAAGCAUAAAAACGAUGAGGACUUCGGUUCUGGAACGCUUUGUCGUUCAAAACGAUGGAACACUAUGUUGUUCAAAACGAUGUUAACGAUGAGGACUCAUGUCCUGAUAAAAGAAUGCUUUAACCAUUCUAUAACGAUGAGGGCUUCGGCUCUGUUAUGGUACCACAUGCAUAGUUGCAUUUGUUGAGGAGUCUUAGUGGAGUUGUCAUGUCCUGCAUGAGUCUUAGAGGUGAAGUCGGGUUGUUGCAUGAGUCGUUUGUUUACUGUUUUUAUUACUGUUGGAUGUUGAAGUUGCUAAUGAUGCUAUACUAUAAUUGAUGAAUGAUUAAGAUGAUAGGGUGUUAGAUUCAUUUGUGUUAUUAUAUAUUAUUAUUAUUGUUUGAGAAUCUCACCCCUUCUGCUUGAAAAUGUUGCCCUUCCUAUGGGUAACUUGCAGGUGAUCCUGAGUAGUAGGUGGUGGCUCACAGUGUCUAGGGCUCUGAUACGUGAGAUGGGGUUUUAUUGCUUGAAUUCUUUCCUAUGUAUCAAUUUUGAAAUAUUGCUGAUGUAGCACUUUGGUGACUGAAUUUUAUGUUGAAAUGGCUCUUAUGCCAAGAAUAUUUAUUGGAGACUUAUUGAUGUUGCAAAUAAAUCCGCUGCAAGUUUAAUGACAAUUUAUGAAUGACGUUUGAUUAAAUAGAUUUUUAUAUACACUCUAUUUAGAAGAUUUUAAAUGAAGAAAUGUGGCAUGCCCGUUGUGAUUACUCUGAUUAUUGAUGUAUUAUUAUUAUUUUAAUUGAUUUUGGGAAACGGGGUGUUACAGAUACUGCCUGUUACUUCUUCUUCUUAAAUAUGUGUUCCUGAUGACAUGAGGAAAUGUAUCUAAGGUAUCCCUUUAGAUUCUGUUUGCUAGUUGUUUCUUCAUAUGUAUGUGUUCAUGCUCUUGGAGAAUACUAGGUCAAAAAACUAGUGGAUUUCCUUCCUGGCUUGGUAGCCCCCAGAGUAGGUGUGUUUGUCACCGAACUGGGUCAACAAAAUCAUUGUGUUCUUUACUUUCUUGUCGUUUAUUUUCUUGUUUUUACUUUCGUUUAUCGCGUGAUGUUGAAACAUUGAACGAAACAUUGCAUACGUACAGAACAUAUUAAAACAAGUGCGUUAGAAUUUCAGUUUCCCCCAACAAGAGGGUCCAAAAGGAAUUGAUAAGAGUAAAUCUCAGCAAGUAAAGGGGCUAUUAUGAAAUAAAGGGGCUAGUAGACAUCCUCAGCAAGUCCUCAGAGUCUGCUCAUAAAGGCAACCUGUCUUGCUUUUUAGUCGGAUUUUGGUGGGGUAAAUCCGCAAGUGCACGGUUUACCGAAGUAGUAAUAAAGACUAUCGUUUCGACAGGGAGUUAUGAAUUCAAUUGAGUUUUAACAAUGAUUAGAAGAGAGUUCAAGUUGAAAAGUUGGGAUUUUUAACGGCAGAAAAUAGUAAUAAAAAGCGCCUUGGGAUUAUUGGUUCGUGAUAGUGACAAAUCCUUCACAAACCAAACCCUAAAUCUAGAACUUUAUGUUGGACCUAUUUUCUAAAGAGAAGUUUCUCUUUAGCCUAUCACACCUCCUUUCGGUUUCAGUGAGUGUGUUUCGUUAGCAACCAUGCCUAUUCUCAUGGUUGAUUGCUAUUGAAACCCUUGAAGCACGAAACUUGUUGUAUCAAGGUUUGCUAGAGUAUUCCCAUGUUUCGCAAUCCUUGUCUAAUUUCACUUGUUCCAAUAUCAAAACUUCAUCUUUCGAUCCUUCGCUUGAUAUAUGUGAUUAAUCAAUAACAACUAUUAAACUUCAUCUUUCGAUUCUUCGAUUAAUACUUGUUAUUGAUUAUAAAAACGGUGAAUUAGAUUAGAAAAUAGAUUUACAUAAUAUUAGGGUUCGAGGCUUGUUUGAUAGGGAUUACUUAAUUAGACUCAUCAAACAAUCCCAAGACAAGAAGAGGAUACUCACACAUUUUCAUGGGAUUACUUAAUUAGACUCAUCCAACAAUCCCAAGACAAGAAGAGGAUACUCACAUAUUUUCAUUGUAGACAUAGAAGAGAAGAAGAAGAACAUAAAAUAAAAUAAAGAUGAACUUUUAUUCAAAGGAAACAAUUGUCACUAUUAAUUUCCAAGAACAAGAGAUGAUUGUAUAUGUUUGCUAGCUGCUCUAUUUAUAGUCUACAACUACUUAAGCCCCAAGAAAUACAUCAAUGGAAUGUUCCACAAGAAACCAUGGGCUUUAGGUCAGAAAUAAACUUAAACAGACAGCUUGUCGAAGAAGCAAAAGCAGUAAAAGGAAUGUUAUGAUGGUGGCACGGCCGUGCCACUGAGGCACGGGUUGUGCCAACUCUCUGACUUGGCCAAUGAGAUUCAAACUUUGAUGGCGUGGCCACGCCAUUGUCAGGCGCGGCCAUGCCUGAUAUUUUUGCACAUAAUCUUCAUAUUUUUGGCCCGAAUCAGCUCAAAAUAUCAUUUCUUUUGCUCCAAGACUCAAUCUUUAAAAUAUUUGUUCUUGAAAUUAAAUAACUUGCAAUCUUUAUGACUUAUCAUAUUUGAGCCUCUUUUGGAAAGCAUUACACAACACAUCCAAGAACUCCAUGAGAAGGCCGACGAGCAGAAUCGUCUUUGACUACAGAAAUUAGAUCAGAGUAAUCUCUUUUAGAAGAAACCUUCUCCCUAAAAUCUGCAGCUCAAAAAGAACAAAUUGAACUAGAAGACUUGAAAGCGAACAUUCCUUUGUGGGAAGAUGAAGUUAGAAAGUGGCAGGCGAAAGUUGAUGAAGGGAAGAAGAGGAAGUCUGAACCUAGUUUCCAUCAAAGAUCGCCUAAACUUCAAAGCAGAUGCUGCUCUUCGCCAUCUAGAGAAGGCUGGUGCAAUCGAGACUGAUGUCAAUGUAUUAUUAACAAUUGAGUCCCAUGCCGUCUCGAAGUUAAACUAAGCUGAAGCGGUUUAUGAAGCUCUGAAUUAGAAGUUUAAAUUCUAGACUUCUAUCUUAGAACUUUCUCAAGUUUGGCGGUGUUAUGGAAACUUGUUAACAUAACACUUUCCAGUUUUCGUAAUAUUUCGACAAUGUCUUGAGUUAGACAAUCUUUUUUCUUGGUAUAAUUUUGGUUUUAUCAUAUGCCAAGUUUCAUUCCUUGACAAAAGAUUACUCUCUCAUUGUUUUACCUAUUUUCACAAUAGGCUUAUGUUUUUUUAAAUACUCGUCGUUUAUGUUAAACACUAUGUUGCCAGAAAGUAGUUUUCUUAACAAAUUGUUAAUGGUAAAAGUUUGAAUUCGAAAAGUUUCAGGAUAUAAACGAUUAAGAUACGAAAAAUGGCUUACUUGAAUUUAAAUUUAAUUCUCUUUCUGCCCCCACAAGUUUUGGCAUUAACAAUUUUGCCGAAGGGCAUUCAGUAGGACCCAAUUUACCUUGGAUCUCUAUUAAUUUCCUCAAUUUCUGUUUAGAAACUGUAUAUCCUGAAGCAACUUGCGCUGAAAUAUCAAAAAUGCAAUCAAGUUUUUGGCCUUCAACCAUUAUUUCUUUUGAUUUGUCACCGACAACAUCUUUCUCAAUGGUUCCUAUAACCAUCUUUUGUUUUAAUUUAGCUUCUAAGACUUUUUUGAUCUUAUUUUCAGCCAAGUAGGUCGUUAUCAUGUUCCAAGCAUCUUGCUCAAACAUGAUAAUCAUUCAAUCAUUCCGCCUAGAUGGGGGAAUUAGGUCUUUUGCCAUGUAUUCUGUGUUAGAGACCUCCUUUUCCCAUAUGUAGCCAUGGAACAAGUCGAGCCUUACAGAACUCACAUUUAUUUGGUCAUUACAACCAUCUUCAGCAAAAGAACAUGGUGCUAUUUUUUCCAAACUUUUCUCAAAGGUUUUUCUUGUGACAUGAUUAACUUCAACAAGAAAGUAACUUUGGUCUGCCUUGACAUUUUCAACCGAGCCAUCAUCCAUCCAGAUUACAACUCUCUGGUGCAUAGAUGAAGAAACACACCGAUUCCAUGUAUCCAUUCUCUUCCUAAGAGAAAUUUGAAGUUGGAUUUUGAUGGUACCAUCAUGAACAAAGUUGGUAUGGUAAUAGAUCCCACAGUGAGAUUCAUUGGGAGAGCACCAAGAGAAAACCCAUCUUUCAUUUCAUAGUUAGGACUAUGUUGUGAGAUUUUAAAUCUUUACCACAUUUCCCAAUCUUCUUAAGUAAAGUUGAGGUAUCAGAUUGACAGCAACACCACCAUCUACCAACACCUUGUUGACUCCAAUAUCAUCAACUUUGGCUUGAAUUAAUAGUGAUUUGAGAUGGCCUUUCGUAGAGCUACUUGGUUUCUCGAAUAUGGCUUUCUGUUGAUCACCACAUCCAUAAUCUGUUACAUAGCAACACAUUGAUUUAUAUUUCUCCAUGUCUUCUGGAUUGUAAUCAUAUUUUGAUUCUUUGACUUCAGAUACUACGUCAUAUUCUGUACGCAAAAUAGAAACCAAAUUGCAUACAACGUCGAAAUUUGGUUAUGUAUCCAUGAAGUCUGAAUCCAGUCCAUCAUCUCUAACAAGGUUCUCCUUAAUACGAGGCAGAGACAACCUUUCUUUCACUGGUCUUUUAGUUGUUUCGACCAGCUUUUCUUUUUCUGUAGGGUCAACCGCUUUAUCAUAAGAACUUGCAUCAAUACCCUUUUUGGACCUUUGAUACCUUCUCCACUGAGUUCGAGCAAUAUGAUUUUUUUCCUUUGUAAUUAUUACAGUAGGCGUAUUUUCUUGACUCGUUUGGAUUUUCAGUAUCAGUAGUAACAUUUUUAGUAACAGUGUUACUAGUUUAGCAUGGGGCACAAACAUUUUCCCUCGACAAUUCUUAUUAACAUAAUUAGUUGUCGAAGAGUUAUUGAUGAAAGGAAUAUAACUCUUAGUAAAAGAGAACUUUGGUCUAAGAUUAACAGACCAUUUUCCUCUUUUCUUGGAUUUUGGUAGCCACUUUGUCGAACACAGAGCUACACCUGGGGCACAACAUGACCUUAGAGUUUUUCAACCUGCACUAAUUGAGAAAAUCGAACAGUUAUUCUUCAGGCAUGGGAUAAGCCACUUUCGCCUUCUAAUCAAACUAAGAUUCUGAGAUGACUUCAUUAUCAUGUUUGAGGUGUCCAGAAGCUUCUACCAUCUGCCAUUCAGCGACAUAAACUUUUUCUUCAACAUACCGUUUUUCGACAGCAUCCACAAUAAUGGCUUCCACUACGUUACAACCUACAACUUGUGUGUACAUUGCGUCAACGUCUUUUAGGGCAUCCACAUCCACUUGCAUAUGAGGCUUUGUUUUAUCUCCAAACUUCAGCUUGCCUUGAUUCAUAGCUCUUUCCACCUAGUCCUAAAAAGUACACAAUCCGAGGUCUUAUGUCCUAAAAAAUUAUGAUACUUAUAAAACCAUAUCUUUUUACGCUGCUAUAGUUCUCGAAUUUUAGACCAUUAGGUACCGCCACUUGGCCAUCAACAACUAAGAGAUAUAAAAUCUCAUCGCAUUUGACCAUUAGGUACCGCCAUUUGUGUCUCGGCGGGAUUUUUCCCAUUUGACGAUCUCAACAUUUUGCACGUAUUAGGAGGCCCGGGUUUCAGUUUAGCAACAAUCACCUCUCUGUCUUUGAUUUCUUCAAAAGCUAUGACGAAUUCUUGGUCACUUUCAUUUGUGUUUAUGUAAGCAAUCUUCUCUCUUCUAUAUUCGUGAUUUUUGGCUUUCUUAUCCCUCAGUCUUUCGACCUGUCGAACACUGUUGACCAAUUGGGCCAUAUCUCUCAAUUAUUGAGUAUCUAAUUUCUUCUUGAUAGAAUAGUCUAGGCCACCAGCGGCCAUUGCAACUAACUCAUGUUCAGGCACUUGAGUAAAACAUCUAGCCUUUAAAAAUUUGAAUCUAUUCAAAUAAUCAUCAAUUGAUUCAGUUGUUCUUCUCCUAACACUCGCCAAUUCCUUUAGACUUAUCUUAGAUUGGCCCAUGUAAAAUUGUUCAUUGAAUAACCUUUCUAAUUGAGUCCAAUGUUGAAUAGAAUGUGGUCCAAUGUUUAAUCUCAAAUUCUCAUUGUUUGCUAUAUCUCCAACCUCAGUCAAAUAUCGUGCUAUAUGUUCGAUAGUAGAUUCAAUGGUAUAACCAGCAAACUACAUGAACUUAGGAAUCUUACAACCAAUAGAAAGUUCAAUUUGUAGAACACAUUUGGACAAAGGAUAUACAAAGUUUGGGCUAUGUAAACCCAUGUUUAAGCCAUUCUAUGCCAUAAUAUUUUCAACAAAAUUGGAUAUGUUAUUAUGUGCUCUGAUGUUUUGUAGUUGGACAUUCCUAACAACUUCAUUUGUAUUAUGUUUCCUGUUCACCAAAAUUACUUCUGGAUGUGCUUGCAUCAUUGGUUCAACUGGUUGCGGUUGAGGCACAUGUUAUUGCCUUUGAACCACAGGUUCGACAACUUGCAUAUGUUGAAUAUUCUGCAUCUGUGGGAUAUUUUGGAUCUAAGGAAUCCGUUGAUAGACAAGUUGUGGAGGGGCGAAGAAAUCUAUUAUUUUCCCCAUUUGAGUGGCUGAUUCUUGGUAACUUUGGUUUGUACUUUGAAUCAAGGGAUUAAACACUGUAUAAAUUUGUUGUAUUAACAAAUUAACCAUUUCGUGAUUGCUCUCAUUCGUUUGUUGCCUAAACAACAUCAUUGAUUUUGUAGUUAAGGUUGGCAGAGAACUUAUGCCAAAAACACUAGAACUUGAAGGACUAUGUGUAUUGAAUGGCUUGAAUGGGUUGUGGUCUAUGGUUGCAGACGCAUUAUUAUGCAAGUUUUCCAUCAUCAAAGUUGGCAUACCAUAAGGUUGUUCUCUAGACAGACUUUUCAUCGUUACGUACCUAUCAUCAAGUCUAGGACUAACUUGAGGAUGAGGGGACGUAGGAACACUGGUAGACACAUAUACAACAGCCGUAAAUGGAGGCACAAAGGUUCCCAUUUUUGGUCGUUUCAUUGCAAUAGUUGUUGUCGGAGCGGUUGUGGAAGCAGUUACUCCCAUAUCCGUCAAAACCGGCAUGAUCAUGGUUGCGUCCACGUCCAUUGAUACACUAGCAGCCACUAAUGGGGCAGAUGCCUAUGUAAAUUGUGCUUGUGGGUAGGAGUGGAUGAUUGCGAUGAAGCAGAACCACUACUACUAGUGGAUUUAGUCAAUAUUUUCAAAGUUUUACCACUUCUUAAAUGCAUGUACAAAAUGCGAUAUUUUCUCAGAAAAAGUUUACUAAAAGUAGUUGCUAAUUUUCAGAAAAUAGUUUUCGCAAGAAAGGAUUUUAGAAAAAACUUUUGAAAAGUUAUGGAAAUUUCUUCCAAAAGUAUUUGUAAAUGACGCACAAACAGGUGCGCACUAGGAGUGCCAAUUUGUUUACUGGUUUUUUUGUUAAACAAUAUAGGCUGGUUUUGAUUAUUACAAUCAGUAUCAAACCAGAAAUUCUAGAAAAAGAGUUCGCGUUCAUCAAAUUCAUAGGUUGCUUUAUGAACAAGACGAGAUCGUAUGGUGUUCUUCGACAGAAAAAUGUUUCAAAACAAAAGAAAACGCAGUAAAUGCAAGAUAAAGGCUAAAAGUUAAAAUUGCAGAAACUUAAAGAAAAGAUAAAUUGUGUUGCAUUAAAAAUAAAGGUGGUUCGACAAAUCCAUACAUUAUGUAUAACUAUUUUUGUCUUGCGUUGGUACUUCAGGUGUUGUAAAAUUUCUAUAAGUGAUUUGCUCCCCGUUUUCCCUAUGGAAAACUACUAUUUAUACAUAGUAAAAUAACUGAAAAAAGCCUAAUUCUAAGAUCAACACUUCUUCCAUGUAAACAACCGCUUGUCUCCCACAUUUCCAUUGAGGAAACUGCUUCUCUUUGAAAUUCGAAAUCUUCCCACCUCAAUCGUAGUUGCAUUGCUUCGCCGGUCUUGCAUUCCUGACUCACAUCUUGUUGAACUCUAGGGUUUUAGACCUUUUCACGCUAAGUCCUACAUUCGUCGAACUCAUCAAGUUGAGCAAAGGACUUCGAUUCCUGCAGAUAUUAAAUUAAACUAAUGGUGACCGCAUUAAAUGAGCCUAUUGAAAUUACAUGAUAACAGUAGGAAAAUACAAGUUCAAGCAACAACUUUCUCGUAAUGGACAUGAGGCAAAAUGCGUGGAGAUGCUCCAAGAGGGAUGCCCCAACCUAGAAGUGAUAAAGCUCAUCCUCCAAAAGGAAACCGCUUGGGGGUCUGAUGGGGCUAAGUACUUUGUGUUGGAACAAAAUGUGUUUUACAAUAAACCUUAAUGAGUUUUGAUGAUAACAAGGUAUUAAAAAAAUUGUCAAUUGGUUAUUGCUAAUAUUUGUUCAAGUGUACAGGACCAUGGGCAAAGUUAAUCAAUUUCAAUAGGUCUUGGAAGAACAAUAGAGAGCAAAGGAAUUUAAAAGCAUCUGAAGGAACUCAACGACUCUUUGGACGUGCUAAAAAUCUCAACGUCUCUCUACUCACCUCUAUAUAAAGGAGUGAAGACUUGAAGAUUGGUAGAGAAAUCACCACAAGUUAAAAGUGCCAAAACUCUGCCAAAUUUGAUUCUCAAAAGCACUUUGAAUUUCUGCACUGAUUUGAUAUAUCUUAGAAAUUCUUAAGUCUAGAGUCUUUUACUGCAUUGUAUUGUGAACACUACUGAUUGUAUAUCAAGUGUUCAAGUCAAACAAUUUUCUGUGUAAUUCUGUUUGAUUAGAAGUCUCUUGCUUUAGUGCUUGAGCAUUGGAAGUCUCUNNNNNNNNNNNNNNNNNNNNNNNNNNNNNNNNNNNNNNNNNNNNNNNNNNNNNNNNNNNNNNNNNNNNNNNNNNNNNNNNNNNNNNNNNNNNNNNNNNNNNNNNNNNNNNNNNNNNNNNNNNNNNNNNNNNNNNNNNNNNNNNNNNNNNNNNNNNNNNNNNNNNNNNNNNNNNNNNNNNNNNNNNNNNNNNNNNNNNNNNNNNNNNNNNNNNNNNNNNNNNNNNNNNNNNNNNNNNNNNNNNNNNNNNNNNNNNNNNNNNNNNNNNNNNNNNNNNNNNNNNNNNNNNNNNNNNNNNNNNNNNNNNNNNNNNNNNNNNNNNNNNNNNNNNNNNNNNNNNNNNNNNNNNNNNNNNNNNNNNNNNNNNNNNNNNNNNNNNNNNNNNNNNNNNNNNNNNNNNNNNNNNNNNNNNNNNNNNNNNNNNNNNNNNNNNNNNNNNNNNNNNNNNNNNNNNNNNNNNNNNNNNNNNNNNNNNNNNNNNNNNNNNNNNNNNNNNNNNNNNNNNNNNNNNNNNNNNNNNNNNNNNNNNNNNNNNNNNNNNNNNNNNNNNNNNNNNNNNNNNNNNNNNNNNNNNNNNNNNNNNNNNNNNNNNNNNNNNNNNNNNNNNNNNNNNNNNNNNNNNNNNNNNNNNNNNNNNNNNNNNNNNNNNNNNNNNNNNNNNNNNNNNNNNNNNNNNNNNNNNNNNNNNNNNNNNNNNNNNNNNNNNNNNNNNNNNNNNNNNNNNNNNNNNNNNNNNNNNNNNNNNNNNNNNNNNNNNNNNNNNNNNNNNNNNNNNNNNNNNNNNNNNNNNNNNNNNNNNNNNNNNNNNNNNNNNNNNNNNNNNNNNNNNNNNNNNNNNNNNNNNNNNNNNNNNNNNNNNNNNNNNNNNNNNNNNNNNNNNNNNNNNNNNNNNNNNNNNNNNNNNNNNNNNNNNNNNNNNNNNNNNNNNNNNNNNNNNNNNNNNNNNNNNNNNNNNNNNNNNNNNNNNNNNNNNNNNNNNNNNNNNNNNNNNNNNNNNNNNNNNNNNNNNNNNNNNNNNNNNNNNNNNNNNNNNNNNNNNNNNNNNNNNNNNNNNNNNNNNNNNNNNNNNNNNNNNNNNNNNNNNNNNNNNNNNNNNNNNNNNNNNNNNNNNNNNNNNNNNNNNNNNNNNNNNNNNNNNNNNNNNNNNNNNNNNNNNNNNNNNNNNNNNNNNNNNNNNNNNNNNNNNNNNNNNNNNNNNNNNNNNNNNNNNNNNNNNNNNNNNNNNNNNNNNNNNNNNNNNNNNNNNNNNNNNNNNNNNNNNNNNNNNNNNNNNNNNNNNNNNNNNNNNNNNNNNNNNNNNNNNNNNNNNNNNNNNNNNNNNNNNNNNNNNNNNNNNNNNNNNNNNNNNNNNNNNNNNNNNNNNNNNNNNNNNNNNNNNNNNNNNNNNNNNNNNNNNNNNNNNNNNNNNNNNNNNNNNNNNNNNNNNNNNNNNNNNNNNNNNNNNNNNNNNNNNNNNNNNNNNNNNNNNNNNNNNNNNNNNNNNNNNNNNNNNNNNNNNNNNNNNNNNNNNNNNNNNNNNNNNNNNNNNNNNNNNNNNNNNNNNNNNNNNNNNNNNNNNNNNNNNNNNNNNNNNNNNNNNNNNNNNNNNNNNNNNNNNNNNNNNNNNNNNNNNNNNNNNNNNNNNNNNNNNNNNNNNNNNNNNNNNNNNNNNNNNNNNNNNNNNNNNNNNNNNNNNNNNNNNNNNNNNNNNNNNNNNNNNNNNNNNNNNNNNNNNNNNNNNNNNNNNNNNNNNNNNNNNNNNNNNNNNNNNNNNNNNNNNNNNNNNNNNNNNNNNNNNNNNNNNNNNNNNNNNNNNNNNNNNNNNNNNNNNNNNNNNNNNNNNNNNNNNNNNNNNNNNNNNNNNNNNNNNNNNNNNNNNNNNNNNNNNNNNNNNNNNNNNNNNNNNNNNNNNNNNNNNNNNNNNNNNNNNNNNNNNNNNNNNNNNNNNNNNNNNNNNNNNNNNNNNNNNNNNNNNNNNNNNNNNNNNNNNNNNNNNNNNNNNNNNNNNNNNNNNNNNNNNNNNNNNNNNNNNNNNNNNNNNNNNNNNNNNNNNNNNNNNNNNNNNNNNNNNNNNNNNNNNNNNNNNNNNNNNNNNNNNNNNNNNNNNNNNNNNNNNNNNNNNNNNNNNNNNNNNNNNNNNNNNNNNNNNNNNNNNNNNNNNNNNNNNNNNNNNNNNNNNNNNNNNNNNNNNNNNNNNNNNNNNNNNNNNNNNNNNNNNNNNNNNNNNNNNNNNNNNNNNNNNNNNNNNNNNNNNNNNNNNNNNNNNNNNNNNNNNNNNNNNNNNNNNNNNNNNNNNNNNNNNNNNNNNNNNNNNNNNNNNNNNNNNNNNNNNNNNNNNNNNNNNNNNNNNNNNNNNNNNNNNNNNNNNNNNNNNNNNNNNNNNNNNNNNNNNNNNNNNNNNNNNNNNNNNNNNNNNNNNNNNNNNNNNNNNNNNNNNNNNNNNNNNNNNNNNNNNNNNNNNNNNNNNNNNNNNNNNNNNNNNNNNNNNNNNNNNNNNNNNNNNNNNNNNNNNNNNNNNNNNNNNNNNNNNNNNNNNNNNNNNNNNNNNNNNNNNNNNNNNNNNNNNNNNNNNNNNNNNNNNNNNNNNNNNNNNNNNNNNNNNNNNNNNNNNNNNNNNNNNNNNNNNNNNNNNNNNNNNNNNNNNNNNNNNNNNNNNNNNNNNNNNNNNNNNNNNNNNNNNNNNNNNNNNNNNNNNNNNNNNNNNNNNNNNNNNNNNNNNNNNNNNNNNNNNNNNNNNNNNNNNNNNNNNNNNNNNNNNNNNNNNNNNNNNNNNNNNNNNNNNNNNNNNNNNNNNNNNNNNNNNNNNNNNNNNNNNNNNNNNNNNNNNNNNNNNNNNNNNNNNNNNNNNNNNNNNNNNNNNNNNNNNNNNNNNNNNNNNNNNNNNNNNNNNNNNNNNNNNNNNNNNNNNNNNNNNNNNNNNNNNNNNNNNNNNNNNNNNNNNNNNNNNNNNNNNNNNNNNNNNNNNNNNNNNNNNNNNNNNNNNNNNNNNNNNNNNNNNNNNNNNNNNNNNNNNNNNNNNNNNNNNNNNNNNNNNNNNNNNNNNNNNNNNNNNNNNNNNNNNNNNNNNNNNNNNNNNNNNNNNNNNNNNNNNNNNNNNNNNNNNNNNNNNNNNNNNNNNNNNNNNNNNNNNNNNNNNNNNNNNNNNNNNNNNNNNNNNNNNNNNNNNNNNNNNNNNNNNNNNNNNNNNNNNNNNNNNNNNNNNNNNNNNNNNNNNNNNNNNNNNNNNNNNNNNNNNNNNNNNNNNNNNNNNNNNNNNNNNNNNNNNNNNNNNNNNNNNNNNNNNNNNNNNNNNNNNNNNNNNNNNNNNNNNNNNNNNNNNNNNNNNNNNNNNNNNNNNNNNNNNNNNNNNNNNNNNNNNNNNNNNNNNNNNNNNNNNNNNNNNNNNNNNNNNNNNNNNAACCUCCAGACCCUUAGAAUUACUCCAUAUUGAUCUGUUUGGACCAGUUAACACUGCAUCCUUAUAUGGAAGUAAAUAUGGAUUGGUCAUUGUUGAUGAUUACAGCAGGUGGACAUCGGUAAAAUUCCUAAGAAGUAAAGAUUAUGCUUGUGAGGUGUUUAGCAGCUUCUGCACUCAAAUACAAUCUGAAAAGGAGAUGAAAAUUU